GAUUGGUCAUACUUUCAGGAAGCUUAGGUAUAUCAGAAAUUCCCGUUUUUGUUAAUCUCAAGAUUCUCAGAAAUGAUAGUCUUCCAAUCUCACUUGGGAUUUCCCCACGCAAAUAUCGACAGUCGUAAGCUUCAAUCUCUUCAAGCUUCUCCAACAUCCCAAGGGUGCUAGGUAGCUUUUCUAAGAUGGUGCCAGAGAUCCUUAGUACUCUCAAAUUCUUCAUUGUCUCUAUUAAAUUGGGUAACUCUCGUAUGCUUGACCGAGAAAGAUUCAACUCAAUGAGAGAACCAAAAUUUCCAAUUGAAAGUUCACUAAUACGUGUACCUGACAAGCAAAGAUAUAACAAUGAUGUCGAGCAACCAACUAAAUUGCAUUUACUCAAUAAUCCACAUGAACUUGCACUGAGAGUUUCCAAUUUCUUCAUUCCUUUCCAUUUAGGAAUUUUGGUAAUAGAUGUCAUGUCAAGAAGAAGUUCUGUUAAGGCUUCCAGUCCCUCCAUCUCAUCUGGCAAUCUCUGAAGUUUGCUACAACCUUCCAAGUUUAAAAACACUAACUGCUUUAACUUACCAAUAGACCUGUCAACUUGAACUAGCUCCUUGCACCCUUGAAGAAUCAGUUGCUCUAAAUUUUCAUGAGUAGAAACAUUAGGAGUUUUACGCAAGUUGCUGCAUUUAGUCAAAUUUAGAACCUUCAAAUUCUUUGCCAUCUAUAAUGAAGAGAAGAGGUUAAUUCUAGAUCAUUUUAAGAUACAAGACAAUAAAGUUAACAUAGCAAGUUCAUGUUGAAAAAAUACCAUACCUUGAGGUGGUUCCAUCCCUCCCAAUCAUUUGUAAUUUGACUAUGUGAUAGAUCAAGAAUCACUAUCUUCAUAAGGGAAAAUGAGGUCAACUGGAAAAAGAUAGGAAACUCAUGCCAUGAGAGAUAUCUCAAAUUCGGAAGGACGAGCGGAUUUUUCUGAAACUGCUUGGUUGAAGGACAAUGCUGAACAAAUUUAUGCCAUGAGAGGUAUCUCAACUUAGGAAGGUUGGAUAGAUUCCUCUGGAACCAGUUGGUUAAAGAAAAAUGCUGGACAUUUUUCAUAUCCAAGUCUCCACAAUCCACUUGAAGAAACCUCAAAUUUGAUAGACUUGCAAAUUCUUCCUUCUUAUAGAAGUGUCGAGAUUGAUGAUCAAACUUGAGACAUACUGCUUCAAUGUUUUCUGUUCCCCGCUGAAGCCCAAAAAAUAAAAUAAAAAAUGGAAGCUAGUGAUCACAUAAUUUCCUGUCGAAGGGAUCUGAGUUGAACAUACUUCAGGAAUGUACAUUUUAUUUAUACUUUCAAAUUGAUUUACAAUAUGAUUUAUAGAUGAGCUUGUCAUCAUAGUAAGCAUACAAGUAAUGACUCGGUUCAGAUAGAAACAAUUAACCAAAAUUGGCAUGUAUAACUGAUCCCUCUCCGAAUAGGAAUAAAAUUGCACACACUUUACCUUUUCUAUGAGAAUACCAUUUGCUUGUUCAUGAUCCCACACCCGACUUUGCUUCUUUGGUCUAAAAGUACCAAUCCGACAAAUGAAAUGUCGCCCAAUGUCUCUUAAUAGAUCAUGCAUCCACAACCGGUCACAGUUUGUAAUCUUUAUUAACGACAUCUGUUGGAGGACAUCAAGAUAAUAGUCAGGUAAAAACCCACAACUUUUCCACAUGUGGCUCACAAUUUUCACAUCAAACCCAAUGAAGAAGCAACAAAUAUCGAGAAAUAUUUCCUUCGCAUGUGGUUGUAAUGCAUUGAUACUGAUGUUCAACUUUUCUUCAACAUUUUCAUCGGGAAUAAUUUCUAGCUUCUCUAAUGUGGUCUCCCAAAAUUUUCUGUCUUUUCCAGCUAAAAAUGAGCCUACGAUCUCAAGAGCCAAAGGAAGAUGACCACAGACUUUCACCGCUUUUUUGGAGAGGGGGACGUAUUCUGCUGGAGGAUGAUCACUUCUAAAUGCAUGUCUGCUGAAUAGUUGGAGAGAAUGAUCAAAAUCCAUUCCAGUAAGUUCGUGCUUCAACUCAACAUUUUUGAGAACUUCUUUGUUUCUUGUGGUAAUAAUAACCUUACUUCCACUACCAAACCAGCAUUUACCCAUUCCUACAAGAGCAUCCAGCUUAGUCUUUUGGUCGACAUCAUCAAGUAGAAGUAUGACCUUUUUAGAGGAUAACAAGUCCUUGAUCACCCUUUUCCCUUCAUUGAUAUCAUUGAUGGUCUGUCGUUUUUUUCCUAGGACAUCAGAGAUGAGCUGAUUCUGCAAACUCUCAAUUUUCGUAUCUCUAAUGUUGGACAAGGAGCAACAUAUACUGGAAUUAGUGGUCCGUUCACCUAUCACUUCCAUGAUUCUGUCCACUUGAUCGUCCAUUUUCUCCAAGAAAUUAGAUAAGUUGUAGUGUUUAGUGGAAUGAGACAAUAGUUUGUUAUAGACGAUUUUGGCAAGAGUUGUCUUUCCGACACCACCCAUACCAUGGAUACCAACAAUCUUUGUUUGAGCGCUGUACUCACCUAUUAAUUCCAUGAUUCUGUCCACGUGAUCGUCCAUUUCAACCAAGAAAUCAGAUACUGCCAAGUAGUUCUUUUUCAAUUCGAUCAAAACCUUCUGAACAACUUCUCUUGUGAACUCACCUUUGCCCCUGAUAAUAUUGAAGGCAAAAGAACCAAAGUAUUAGAUCAAGAUGAACAGAAUAAUAUCUAAGAUACAAACAAAUCCUGCACAAUAAUAAAAGUACCUCUCCUUGAGUUCCCAUCCCUUUAAUUCUCCAACCUUUUUGAGAGCUGCCUUCCAAUUCUCAAUAGUCUCGUUAGUGUACAACUGCUUAUCUAUGUAUGACUGAAUGGCCUUCCCAUAAGUUGUAGUUUGGUUACGAACCUCGGAUGGUUCAAUGUCAAAGAAAAUUGGCAUUAUCUUUUGUCCCCACUUUUCCUUGCAUUCCACCAUCUGGACCAACUCCAUGAGGCACCAUUUACUGGCAGCAUAUUGUUUAGAAAAAAUAGGAAUCAAGAUUUUAGACUGCUUAAUCGCUUGGAGAAGCUCCGGCCCAAUCUCUUCCCCAAUGCGAAGCUCUUCAUCAUCUCUAUAUGCCCGUAUUCCAGCAUCAAUGAGGCUAUGGUAAAGGAUGUCAGUGAUGUCGUGACGAGUAUCCGGUCCUCUAAAGCUCAAGAAUACUUCAUAACAAGGUUCCAUUGGCUUCUCCAUUUCCUGAAUUUUCAGAGGACUUGCAAUGAUUCGAUAUCCCACCUGGAAGAACGUUUACAGUGAAAGUGGAGUGAUGAUUAUCAUGAUUUCUCUCAGAAAUUCUUCUGUUUUAAGUCAUUCUAGAAAGAAAAGUCGAUGACAGAUGCACAGCUCCUUCUGGCAUUGUCAUGGACACCAGCAUAUGUCCAAUUAUUAUAUCAACAAUAUAGCAGAGAAGUUGACCCAUCUCAAUACUAAAGGAAGAAAUCUCCCAAUUAUUGCGAAAUGGGUUUCAAUUCACACUUGAAAUUGAUAAUAAAAAUGAAAAUUUCAAGAAGAUGUAUCACUGUCAACUUAUUUUUGUCUGAAACUUUUUACUUAUUUAAUAAAAAUUUUCUUAAAAGGUAACGUUGAAUAUCCUCUGCACAUAAGCACCUACUGUGGCUUGUAGGUUGACUAAUUAUCUUAUUAUCUGAUAAGAAGUUAUGCCAAAACCGUACUAUUUUAAUUUUACCAGAGAAUCGGUUUGACAAAAACAUUCCACAACAAUCAAUUAGUUGCUCACUUGACCUUAAUGGGCGCAGGCAAAGAAUUGCAUUCACCUAUGACAAUCUCAUUAGAAAAACGAAAUCAAGAAAUUACUCUGCAGCUAAUUCAACCCCCAACAUCGGACUAGUUCAGAAAAGCAUAAACCGAUCCCUGAUUACAACCAUCUCUUAGUUUAUUAACAAACAGAUACAUGGUUAAUGGGCGAGCAUUGGUUAGGCAUGAGGCUAUUAUUCACAUCUGCCAGACGGUAUCAGCAUAUCAGACUUGAGGAGUUGAUAAAAAUUCAACAGAAAAGAGAAGCAUGAAUGCUAUAAUUAUUUUUCCAGCAAAAUAGGUUUGACCACAUAGGAAAGCAAGAACGAGAGCUGCAUUUCACAAAAGCUGAGAGUUCCAGUUCGCCACGGAGUGCAACAUUAUAGUCUCUGCAGUCAGCCUCUUCUGUUAAAUACCAAGUUGUAUGUAUCAAUUUUCUCCCUAGGAGUGUUCUUACUGCUAAUCACCAGACAAUAGUGUACUAGUUUGCCAUAUCGAAGUCUCUUAGAGACACCAGUAUCUCUGGUCGCACAAGAAAGUCCCAGCAAACAAAUUUAAUCAACCGUUUCCACUCAAACUAAAUUAGCUUUUAGCACCAACCCAGUUCCUAAAGAGCGUAAAUUCAAUCCCUGGUUACAGAAUCAACAAACUGAUGCAUAGGAGUGGCAUAGCGUUUCAAGAUCUGAGGCCUGACAGUUGCACAGAUGAAAAAAGGUGAGCAGGGUUUAGCAUGUGACUAGAGUUAGAGCCUAAAGCUAUUAGUGUUAGACGCAACUAGCAGUGAUCAAUCAUCGAGUCAACUGAAGAAAGAACCGAUGCUGAUCUGAGAGUCCCUCUAUUGUUUCCAUCAAAUUCUACGCCUAGUUGCCUUACAGAACAGAUUCAUUAUAAAGAAGGCAAUAAACGAGAGGAAAUUACCGGAGAUGGAGGGGCGAGGAUGAAGAGUCCGGAACAAACGCGCAGAAGCAGACAAAGAUCCCAAGAAUAAACGCUCUUGGCUUUUGAGUUCAGCUGAAGAAAGACAGACUUUUAUUAGACGGCGACUUCACCCUCCUUCGCCGUGCCCUUCCACGAAACUGAGUGCUCGCUACGUGCAGGGAAACUUCAAACCGACCCUGAAAGAGUGAAUACGCGUUGCUUUUUCGCUUUUGAGGUAAUCGAAGUCCAAAGAUUCUUUGGCACGAAAGGCAAGAGUACAACUGCAAGACGUUUUCAUUGCAUGUUAUUAGUUUAGAAAUUCUUUUAAUGACGAUGAAGGUGAAGUCCAGGCCCAUUCAAACUUUACAUAUAUUAAACCUAAAAAUGUAAAAUUUAUAUAUUUUAAGUACGCCAGGGUCAUACACAAUUAGUCCAUAAGUCCAAAAAAGUUAGGAAAAAUAACACCACAAAUACCAUAACCUCCAUACGACACUCAUUUAAGUACGAUAACUUUUUUGGACUAUUUUAAAUAAAUUUAAAGUUUAAAAAUGACAUAGCACAUUUUGCCAAAAUUCAAAGAUCACAUUAAAUAAAUUAAAAAUUUAAGAACAAUAUUGAAUAUUGAAUCAAAGUUUAUGGAUUAUUUAUGUCAUUUUUUUCCAUUUCUUAAAUCUAAAACUUCAAAAACAUAGGGAUGGACACAUAGAUUCACAUAUAAUUUUUUGAUAGUUUUCUAAAAUUUGAAAAAUAAUUUAAAUUUUAACAAAAAAAGUGAAAAUACAACUAUUGACUUUUUUUUUUUAAACUCCAAACAAAUAUUAAAUCAAUUAAUUUUCGCAAUUUCUUUAUAGUAUCGCGUUGCAUACUGGAUGUUGAGUAAUAAGAGGCAGGGGACACCAUUUUCAUGGGAGAGACACUAGUGCAUUGCCAUGUUCUUCAGCGAUAUUGUCCCAACCAUCGAUCACUAUGUCUCUCUCAUCACACGAUGCAUCGCCAAGAAACACUCGAAGCUCAAGAGCACUUCGUAACAUGUUGACAUGGCUUCACAACUUCCAGCGUUUGAGAUGAUUCCUCAGUAGACAAGCAGCAGCAGAAUCACCAACAGCUUCUGUGAUCCUGUUGUCUGUUUUCACCUCUUCACUGGGUUGUAGAAAAAGAUGGAAACAAUGGAAGCGACGAUCGAUGCCAAGUGCGAGGACCAACCUGGAUACACCCUCUAAACCUAUGAAAACAAUGCUGUGAAGAUUUCUGUCGGGAUGGGAAACAGAUGUCCGUGAGAUCUACUCAGGUCAAUCAUUGCUGUCAGUCUUUUUCUGGGUAACUUCGUAUCGAAUAUAUUCUAUUGUCUUGAAAAACUUAAGAAGGAAGCUUCCUCGUCACUUCAAUCGAGGUAUACAUGAUUUAUUUUUUCUAUUGGCCAUAUACAUACGCGAUUAAAACGCGGCUUCUCUAUGCCAACCACGAAGGAGGGGAGCCACGACGGAACAUGCCAACACAAUAGACAGCUUUUGCCGUGUCACUGAUGAUUAAGCAAAACUUCACUUGAAUUAUUGACUAUUCUUCAUAUACAAAAGCUACUUGUCCCUGAUAUGAUGAUAUGUUAAUUAGAUGCUCUUAUCCUAAUAGAUAGGGCUUCAAAAGGGGUUUUGCUUCGGCCAAAAGUCAAGCCCAGCCCGAAGAUUUCAAGCAAAAAAUUCCGAACCUCGAAUCUGGGCUUAGCGCGAGACAAUAUGAAAUGGCAUGGCCAGAAGUCAUACAAUGUGGGCCAGUUUUCGCACACCUUAAUAUUAGUUCAUCUCACAAGCAACUUCAACGGAGCAUUGUCUCAUAUUGGGUGGAUGCUUUACUCCUGAAGUGCUUUUAACAGGGUUUGAACCAACACUCUCUCCCUUGCUAGUUUCUAGUAGGCUAAGAGUAACUUUUCCAUAUGAAAAUAUAUUGCUCACAUGAAAAUAUUAGCAAGCGAUAGGUAUGUGUAGAUAAAAAUUUUUAUGAAGAAUUACUACCUAGAGGAAGACUAAUAGACUGAGGACUAUUUAUCCUUAUGCAAACAUAAAGAAAACCUUGCUACUACUAACGAUGACUUAUUUCCUUCUAAUCACCGCUGAAAACUUACUAAUAAACGUACCUAGUACAUUGGCACUUUUUCAGGUGAUUUGAUGUCUAACUAAUAGAAAUAUAUGACAUCUUCAAUGAAAACUUACUAUCAUGUGAAAAAUAACUUCUCACCAAUAUUUAUAUAUUCUCUUUUCCAAAGUCCAGCAUUUAAAAAUAGUUAUGAUAUGUAGUAUAUUACCAAUAAUUAGGAAAUUUUAGGUCAAUUACCAUACAAAAAAACUCCCAACUUUACAUUCUUGUUAAUUUUAUGUGAAAUAUAAAACAUAAGAAAGAGACGCCAUAAUUUAUUCUUUUGUGUACAGUCACCCUCUAUUAGUCCGUUAGUUAGCAAGGAAAAUAUGGUCGUCGCCUCAUUGAGGUGGCGACUAGUGUGACUAACUAUCACCAUUAAGCGUCAUUAAUAAGCAAAUAGAACUAAGUGGUAAAAGUUAUUUCAUGAAUUGAUAGUAAAAGAAGUUACUUUUAAAGAUCAGAGAAAAGGUAACAUAGGAAAAAAGUGGGGUAGAAAUUGAGAGAGGGAGAAAUGAAAAAAAUGACCGAUCCAAUCAUCAUGCAAUCACAAUGGGUAACGAGAGAGAUCAAUGUAUAUUAGUUGAAGUUACUGAGCAAUUUCAAAUAUUAUUCAGGUCUUAGCAUGACCGCAUCACCACUCAACCUCAAGCUUAAACUUUCAGCUUUUCAGAAUUAUUUAUGAUCAAACAUGUUGGCUUCUUGAAGCUGGUAAGGUCAGGUAGCUCUUUUGGGGCAAUCAAUAUGGUGCAUCUCCAGUUGUUCUGCUCUGCCUUAAAUCUCAAAUAGUUAAGGACAAUUCCAUGGGAGAAGUUCAGGACGCCAUCUACAAUGAUGGCAAACCUGCAAGCAAUUUUAGUGGUCUUUUCGAACUUCUAUCAGCUCAAUUCAAAGAAGAUUAUGUUGGUAUUUUGCCAGGUAUACUAUUGAGGGCAUGUAGCUGCCAUGUCGAAAGGUGGUAAGUGGUACACAUGGUGAAGUUCUUAGAUACAAUAGAGACAAACUAACUUCAAGGUCGAAAAAGAGAGCUCAUGCAAAGUUCGGUAAUCGAAUUUUCCAUCAAUUUGGUCCUUCAGAAGUUUAUGUUCUUUGGACUCUAGCUUCUUCCUGCACUUGGGGAAUUCGCAAUCAAUCUUUGUACUCUUUCACUCUCUCGACCAGUCCAUGAAAGAAUAUAAACCGCGGAGAGAGUAGAAGACUUCACAUCAUUGACAGUCUGUACAUGAGAAAAUGGUAGGAAUAGGGGAAAAUUGUCCAAAAAGUCCUAAACCUAUUGUACUUUUGCCAAUUCAGUCAUAAACAUUUUAACUUUGCCAAUUCAGUCAUAAACCUUCUCACUUCUUGCCGAUUCAGUCCAUCCGGCCAAUUUUGACCGGAAAAUGCUAACGUGGAUGCCAGGGGUGCCACGUAGGACCGUCGGUACUGACAUGGACAAUUUUUAAUAAUAUUUUAAUAUUUUAUUGAAUUUUUUUGAAUUAUUAUUAUUUUUUUCUGUUUGUUUCCUUCUUUUUUUUUUCUUUCUUUUCUUUUUGGCUUUUUUCUUCUCUUUUCCGGUGGCCGGCCACCGGUCACAUGUUUAAUUUAGGUUUCUAGUAACACAAUAUUGUACUCUAUGUAUAUACAUAUAUAUAUAUAUAUAUAUAUAUAUGGUAAUUGCAAUCGUAUCAUAAAAUCUACUUUGAAAUCAUAUUGUUCAAGGUAAAUUACUGAUAGUGUUGGUAAUUUACUUAUAACAACAGUAAAAUUUCUUUGGAAUUUUGGUACCUUCCCGAUGGUGUUAGUAAUUUACUCAUGGCACCAGUAAAAUAUCAGAAGAGUAUGUAAUUUACUAAUUUAGUGAAAAAUUUGUAGGUAUUUAACAAUUUUGGUAAUUUACGAUCGGUGUACCUAACAAGCAAGUAACUUGGUCAUUUCUUUUUACCACCAAGAAAAUUUUUCAAUUUUCCAGUCCAACGGGAGUGUAGAAUUUUGCCAAAUUUUCAUUUGUCUCUGCUUCUGUGACGAGAACUUAAAAUCCCAUCUGAAAAGUUCAAAUGGUGAAACUUGAAACGUAGUCAUAAUUUUACUGCGAAGAACAUGUAGAGAUCUGUAUUGAGUUUCGACCAUUGCACGUGAUCCUUACCUAGGGUGUGUUAUGUUUAUGCUAGACACAAUGUUUUGCCCCUACUUCAUUUGCUCAAUGUGGAAAUUUUAUGGGAAAUCAACAACAAUUCUGCGAACAUGGUUGCUGAUGUCUAAUUAAAUUCUUGACACUGAAUAGGAAGACAUUCUGAGGGUGUUGUCUCAAGAACAUCAAUCUCUGCAAAUGAACUCUGGAGCAAAUCAUCUUCAAUCCUUGAUCAAUUUCACAGAAAUUUCCACGACGAGAUUACAUUCUCAGAGCAUGUGACUUGGUUAGGCUAAGCUAUUAAAAUUAGAUGCAGAUGGAAGAAAUCAAUUGAGUCAGCUCACGAGAGUGUUCACUGAAAAGCUACUUUCAGUGCAUAUAUAAAUGAUAAGUUAUGACUGGAACAAAAACUCAGUUCAUUCCAAAUCUUUUCCUAAUGUAUCACUAGUUGCAUCGCAAUUCGCAAAAAGACCCAAUUCAUGCAAAACAUAAACAACGUAGAGACAAUUAGCAGACGAGGAAUGGGAGACGAUGAACAAUCAAAUGAGACAGCCACCGAGUCUGAAUGAAAAUGCAGAAAACCAAACAAAGAUGCAGAGAAGGGAGAAACCCUUCUUGGCCUGACUCGGUUGCUACCAAAAUGAAAAAGCAAGACGUUUUAGACAAUCUAUGAAAAACCUCGUGGAAUGGAUGGAUGCGCAGGAAGACGGGGUCGCCAGUCCUGGAGGGAGACCUCCACCAGGUGGAACCGCAUCUCGUGCUUCCACUCGGGGUUGCUGUCACGUUCCUCAACGGUUGGAGUCCGUUGCUGCUGGUUUGGGCAAGCUUUUUGCUCGGGUCGUCGCUGUCGAGGGAGGAAGAAAGAAAUGAAAGUGAGAGACAAGAGACAGUAAAUGGAGAAGAAGAGAAGAAAGUCGAAAUUUCUAAGGAAUUGGGUCCCACCUAUACACAUGGCAAUUAAAUGAAGGACUCAAGGCGAGGACCAUGCCAGUUAUUUAUUGGCAUCGUCACUUUUUUCAAAUCUCCGUACUCAUAGGAUUCUAGAGCCUCCUCAAACUUCUCACAUUUAUUUAUUGCCACACGCUUUAGAUUCUUGAAGCUUGAGGGAUCAGAUAACUUUCGUAGAGAUCCGCGAUCAUCAAUACGAAGCCACGUCACUGAUUCUAGCCUACCUCAAAUCUCAACCAGACGAGGACAACACACUAGGCUUAGUCCCAGGAGCUUCUUCAAAUUGGUCAGGUCAGGCAACUUCUCUAGCAACGGAAGAUCCAUAAAAUAUAAAUAAAAGAGGUUCUUCGAAUCUUCCAGGCCUGGUAUCUCUUUCAGCUUCUGACUGUUACUUAUACAGACUUCUGUAUCUACGCCUAAUCGAUAAGGUAACUUUUCGAGUGAUUCACAGGACCUUAUACAAAGUAUGUCUAAUGAUUCUAGCUGACCUCGAACCUCAACCAAUUUAGGACAAUAUAAUAUGCAAAGUGUCCAAAGCUUCGUCAAGUUGGUUAGGUCAGGCAACUUCACCAAUGAUGGAAGAUCUUCAAGACGAAGCUCUUUCAAGUUUUUCAAACAUUCAAGGCCUUGAAUCUCUAUUAGCUGUUUGCAAUGAUAGACUUCCAAUUUUGAUAACUUCUCCAAAUAUGAAAGAUCUAUCAACUUUCCCAUUGAACUGUGCCCAUUAAUCGAGAUGGAUGACAAAUUCUCGGGAAGCCUAGGUAGGUGUUCUAGGUUAUCUAUGUUGAGGAUAAGCUUCUUGAGUUUAGAAAGGAGAUUAAAAUCUGAAGGCAGGGUGGCAAUCCUACAACUCAACGACAAGGACUCUAGCUUUCUUAACCUUGAGAUCCACUCGAGGCUUGGAUCUAGAUGGGGAGGGGCUUCAUACCAUGAACCCAAACUCAAAUCUCUCAAAUUGAAUAGGUUCGAUAGAUCUGGAAAUCUCGUCACUAAUACUAUUUUAAUGGAUAGAUUGGUCAAACUUUCAGGAAGCUUUGGUACUACGGAAAUUCUCAUGCCCCUUAAUAUCAAGAUCCUCAUAAAUGAUAGUCUUUGAAUUUCAAUUGGAAUUUCCCCCUCGACAUGUUCACGGUUGUCAACAUAUAUCUCUUCAAGCUUCUCCAACUUUCCAAGGGCUCUAGGUAGCUUUCUUACGUAGGUGCAAGACACCCUUAAUACUCUCAAAUUCUUCAUUUUCCCUAUUAAAUUGGGUAAUUCUUGAAUUUCCGAGUUAGAAAUAUUCAACUCAACAAGAGAUCCAAAAUUUUCAAAUGGAAAUUCAGUAAUUUGUGUAUAUUCCAACCUAAGAAUUGAUAGUGAUGUGGAGCAACCACCUAAAUUGCAUAUACGUAGUGAUAUACAUCCAACUGCACUAAGAGUUUCCAAUUUCUUCAUUCCUUUCCACUCAGGAAUCUUGGUAAUAGAUGUCGAAUCAACAAUAAGUUCCGUUAAGGCUUCCAAUUCCUCCAUCUCAUCCGGCAGUGUCCAAAGGUUCCUACACCCUUUCAAGUUUAAAAACCUUAAACACUUUAACUUACCAAUAGACUUAUCAACUUGAACCAGUUCCUUGCACCCUUGAAGAAUCAAUUGCUCUAAAUUUUCAUGAGCAGAAAAGUCGAGAGUUUUGCGCAAGUUUUUGCAUUCAGUCAAAUUUAGAACCUUCAAAUUCUUUGCCCUCUGUAAUGAAGAGAAAAUGUUAAUUCCGAUUCAUUGGUAGAUACAAAAGAGCAAAGUCAAUAUAGCAAAAUUCAUAUUGAAGUAGUACGAUACCUUGAUGUGGUUCCAUCCCUCCCAAUCAUCUGUAAUUCCACUCAAUGAUAGAUCAAGAAUCACUCAUUUCAAAAGGGAAAAUGCAGUCAAUUGGAAAAAGAAGGGAAACUUAUGCCAUGAGAGAAAUCUCAACUCCGAAAGAAUGAGCAAAUUCCUCUGGAACCAGCUGGUUGAAGGAAAAUGCUUAACGAAGUUAUGCCAUGAGAGCCAGCUAGAAUUCUGAAGGAUGGAUAGAUUCCUUGGGGACCAAUUGGUUGAAGAAAAAUGUUGAAUGUUGUUCAUAUGUAAGUCUACACAGUCCACUUGAAGAAACCUUAAUUUUGAUAGACUUGCCAAUUCUUCCUUCCUAAAAAAGUGUUGAGAUUGAGGAUCGAACUUGAGACAUAUUGCUUUAACGUUUUCUGUUCCCUGUCAAGCAAAAACGGGAAUAAUUACCUAUUGAAGGCAUUCGAGUUGAACAUACUUGAGGAAUGCACAUCCUAUUAGUACUUUGAAAUUGAUUUUUACAAUAUAAUUGACAGAUGGGCAUGUCGUGGUAUAGCACACAAGUAACGACUUGGUUUAGAAAGAAGCAAAUUAGCAAAGUCAACAUGUAUAACUUCUCAUUAAAUAGGAAUGACAUUCACUUUACCUUCUUUCCUAUGAGAUCGAUCGAUUCUUCAUGAUCCCACACUCGACUUCGCUUCUCAGGUUCGAGACUACCAUUUUGACAAAUGAUAUCUCGCCCAAGGUCUCUUAGCUGAUCAUGCACCCACAAUCGGUUACCUUCUGUAAUCUUUAUUAAUGACAUUUGUUUGAGCACUUCAAGGGAAGGUUCAGGGAAAAAAUUAUAGCUGUCCCACAUGUGAAUCACAAUUCUCACAUCAAACCCAAUAAAGAAGCAACAAAUAUCGAGAAAUAUUUCCUUCUCUUGAUAAUCUAAUGCCUCAAAACUGAUAUUCAACUUACUUUUAACCUCUUUGUUGGGAAUAGCUUUCAACUUCUUUAACGUGGUCUCCCAAAUUCUUUUGUCUUUUCCAUUUAAAAAGGAACCUAUAAUCUCAAGAGCCAAAGGAAGACGACCGCAGAUUUUUACCACCUUUCUCGAGAGGGGGCUGUCUUCUAUUGAAGGAUGAUCUCUUCCAAAGGCAUGUAUGCUAAACAAUUGCAGAGAAUGACUAAAAUCCAUUUCAAUAAGUUCAUGCUGAAAAUCAACAUCUCUGAGAAGUUCCUUGUUUCUUGUGGUAAUAAUAACCUUACUUCCUCUGCCAAACCAUGGUUCAUCAACCCCUACAAGAGCAUCCAGCUGAAUCUUUUGGUCGACAUCAUCAAGUACAAGCAUGACCUUUUUAGAGGAUAACCUCUUCUUGAUCUCAGUUAUCCCUUCUACGUAAUUAUGGAUUGGUAAACAUUUCCCUUUUUGGACAUCAGAGAUGAGCUUCUUUUGCAAACUCACAAUCUUUGUAUCUUGAAUAUUAGACAGAAAGCAACAGUAAGAAGAAUCAACCGACAAUUUAUUAUAGAUGAUUUUGGCAAGAGUUGUUUUUCCGACACCACCCAUACCAUAAAUACCAACAAUCUUUGUUUCAGUGAUCUGCCCACCUAUCACUUCCAUGAUUUUGUCCACUUGAUCAUCCAUUUCAACCAAGCAAUUAGAUACUGCCAAGUAGUUCCCUUUCAACUCGAUCAAAACCUUCUGGACAACUUCUUCUAUGAACUCACCUUUGCCUCUGAUAGUAUUUAAGGCAAAAGAACCAAAUUGUCAAAUCAAGAUGAAUAGAAUAAUAUGUAAGGUAUAAAUGAAUUAUGCACAAUAAUUAAUUCAAAUACCUCUCCUUGAGUUCCCAUCCCUUUAACGCUCCAACCUUGGUAAGAGCUGCCUUCCAAUUUUGAAGAGUCUCACCACUGUACCACCCCUUGUUUAUGUGUGAGUUAAUGGCCUCACCAUAUCUUGCGGUUUGGUAAUGAACCUCGGAUGGUGCUACAUCAUAGAAAAUUGGCAUAAUCUUUUGUCCCCAAUUUUCCAUGCAAUCCACCAUUUGUACCAACUCCAUGAGGCACCAUGAACUAGCUGCAUAUUCUUUAGAUAAUAUAGGAAUCGAGAUUUUUGACUGCUUAAUUGCUUGGACAAGCUCCGGGCCAAUCUUUUCCCUAACGGGAAGCUCUUCAUUAUCUCUAUAUGCUUGUAUUCCGGCUUGCAUGAGGCGGAUGUAAAGGUAAUUGGCGAUGUCCUGGCAAGUAUCCGAUCCUCUAAAGCUUAAGAAUACUUCAUAAUAACAAUCCAUUGGCUUCUCUAUUUUCUAAACUUUUAGAAGACUUGCAACGACCGGAUAUCCCACCUGAAAAAUGUUUACUAUGAAAGUAGAAUGAUAAUUAUCAUGAUUUCUCUAAGAAACUCUUCUGUUUUACUUCAUUUUACAAGGAAACCACAAUGAUGCACUAGACACCAAAAUAUGUCCAAUUAUUUUAUUAAAAUAUAGUAGAGAAGUGGACCCAUCUCAAUUCUAAAGGAAGAAAGUUCCAAAUUAUUACGGAAUUAUGGGUUUUAAUUCACACUAAAAAUUAAUUGGGAAAAAAAGACUAUUUCACGAAGAUAAAUCAUUGUCAACCUAUUUUUUUCUUAAACACUAUCGCAACCUACCCUUUCCAUCCAGAGGAGAAAAGACAAUAAGUUUAGGGAACCUGCCUAAAUGAUGGGGCCUACGACUCUCGAUUAGGCGUGGGCUUUCCCAAGCUCAUAUCUCGUGCAAAGUUAGCAUAAUCGAUGUUAAAUGAAAUUGACGUUAUGAGAAUUUCCAAUGAGAAAUCACCACUAACCUAUUGGGGUCAGCGAGAAAUCAAGUGAGGCAUUGAAGAAUUUCUCACUUCCUACACAACAAAAAAAUUUAGGGUCGAAGACUUGAUUACACUAAUUAUCCAACUAGUGCCAUUUCGGUCCCUAACCUUGUUCAAACACUAACUAAAAAUGUUCAAGUAGUAACUAUUCCCAACUAGGCUAAAACAGCGGUCAAUAGGGGUGUGCAACCGAACCGGGUUUACCCGGUUCCCGGUCCGACCCACCCGGAAAACAGGGUCGGGAACCGGUUCCGGUUAAAACCGGGCCGGGAACCGGUUCCCGAAACGCAGACCCUGUUUAAACCGGUCCGGGAACCGGUUCCGAGGGAUUACCCACCCGGGAACCGGUUCCCGGCCCAGUUUGGGAACCGGUUGGAGAACCGGUUUUUACGCCUAAAGCAAACCCUAAUUUUAUUUCUUUCUUUACCUGCAGAGGGCCAGAGGCGCAGACGCAGAGAACCAGACUCUCCCGGUUCACCUCGCGCUCGCACCACCGCUGCCAAGCUCCUCCUCCUCCCCCGCCCCGCCGCCCCCGCCGUCACCGUCACCGUCACCGUCGUCGUCACCCCCGACAACCUCCACCUACUCGACCCCUUCCUCGCCUCCUCCUCCUCGCUCCAGCCUCUCGUCUUGCCUUCCCCAGAGCCCCCCGCCGCGGGUGCGCUUCGUCGCCAAAGUCCGCGCCCUCCGCGACCUCCACCUCCCGCUCCUCUCCGACUUCUUCCUCGGGUGGACCCACUGCUUCGCCCGCGACCGCGGCGUCCCGCGAGUCGUCUUCUCGCCGUCCGGCGCGUUCGGGCUCUCCAUCGCCUUCGCCCUGUGGCGGGACCUCCUCCGGCCCGACGAGGAGUCGACGAUCUCGUUCGCGAAGCUGCCGGACUGCCCUCGCUUCCCGAAAUCAUGAAGCUGCUGACCCCCGCCAAGCUCGCACCCGAGCGCCGACGCUGCCUCCGUUCAAUCUCGCCAUUCCACCUCCUGCUUUCCUCUCCGGAACCGCGACCGGCAAAGGCCUUUUUCUCGUUCCAGCGCCUACAACUUCUGCCAGUGCCUUGUACUCCCCUUGACUCACGGGUCGCGGCUUCGUCAUCGUCUUUAAAUCAGGUAACGUCUGAUUCUUUGCUGCUAUGCGUUGGUUUGAUUGUAGUUGGAACCGAAGUUCAACCUUCUGCGUUCAACCUUCUGUGUCGGGCUUGAAUGAACUGGGUCAUUUGAUUUCGAAUCAUUGGCAUUUGAGUCAGUCCACGAGUCUAGAAUUGGAUCAGUAAAAUCUACUCCUCAAAUCGUCGGCCAUAAAUCUGUUUGAUAAAAUGCCCCUAAGGCAUGAUUGAGAAAUGAUACAUGAUAUUAUCAUAUCUUAUAACUUGUUAACAUAUUUUCUCAAUUGAUUGCCAAACUACGCAUACUGUUAAGAAAAGUUAGAGACGGCGCAUAUGCAGUCGCUCACGCGUAGCACACGUUCGCACAAACUGGGGAGUCAGAGUUGAAGGAUUCCUUCCUAAUUUCCCGGUGCAAGUUAGGAAUUUUAAUUCUGGGAUGCGAAACCGAACAUUUUUUUACAGACAAACAACUCAGGACAAGUGUUAGUGACAACGUAACCCCAUGGCCAGCCAGUCCGGAUCAUGACACAAUCUCUCUGUCUUGGAAGCAAAACAGAACAGCUAUUGCUUGUUAUUAGUACUAUGCACACAGAGGAAGAGGAAGAGGAAGAGCCCUCUGCCAAAGGCCCAAGUUUGGGCAUUUUGUAAUUUUAGGGUGAUGAGGCGCUUUUUUUUGUCCCCUUUUCUGAUCUGAUAUGAGUAUUAAAGAUCUUAUGUAUACUGACCUGUUGGUGAAGCUGAAUGACACCAAAUUUGUUUGUUUGAUCUAUGUAGUUUACAAGUUUAAUCAUGCAAAAUUCCUCUUAAUAGUUAACCAUCGUUAGUUAAGACUCUUCAGCUUCUGAUCUUAUUAAAUCCUAGAGUAUGGAUUAUUGUUGAUUUUUCUUUAUAUAUGAAUUUUAGGUUUUUGUCAGAGAUUUUGUACCAUCCGAAGAAGGAGAAGAAGAUCGAGCACAUGAAGGACAAUGUUGAUAUGUGAUCAGCCAAAAAUUGUAUUACAACUAGUUAAUUGGCUAAAUUGCUAGCUUGUAUAUUACUGGAAUAUGAGAAACUCGAUGUAUUUUGUGGGAUAUGGGGAUGCGAGAUGGUCGAAUUAUAUACUUGUUUGUUUUUUUUCAAGAGGAGUCCAAAUUUUAUACAUGUUCCCAAUGAGUUUGGUCGAAGGACGUGCUUGGUCCGACCUUUUUGUUUAAGCGGAUAACUUAUCUAGAAUUGUUUUUCUAAGGUUAAUUUUUAUGCAAAACAGGGUCCAAUGAAAACAGGGUCAACCCUGUUCCCGGACCGGAAAAAUAGGGUGGGCCGGGAACAGGGUCCAAUGAAAACAGGGUAGGGAACAGGGUCCAAAAAAGGAGAACCGGUUAUAACAGGGUAGGGAACAGGGUCCAGGUCUAGACCCUACCCACCCUGGACCCGCUCACCCCUAGCGGUCAACAUGUUCAAAAUGCACAAUCAAAUAAUACAUAACUGAAAUUGAAAUACACAAAGUAAUAACCUAAACAUUCAUUUCUAAGAAAACACAAUAUCUUAACAAAAAGCUUAAGGGCUCGUUCAAUUUUGAGCAAAUGAAAUUUUUUAUCAAAUAUUCUCGCACAUUUCGAAAGAAAAUUACUCAAAAAUCUAAUUUUUGAGUUUUUUUUUUCUGAUUUUAGAAAAAAUAAUUUUUGUCAGAAUUCUCUUAAAAUUUUGUUUUAAAGAUUUUUAAAAUGUCUUAACUUUUUAAUUUUUAGAAUAUUAUUUUUAAACAAACAAAUUAAAUUUUAAAAAUAUAUACUUUUUUUAUAAUUUAAAAGAAAUGAUUUUUAAACUAAAAAGAGGGACCCCGGUCGGGACCGAUCCCGGUCGCCAACCCACAGCCAGACUGGGCCUCAUGCGGAGGCCCAGUCCGGUCCCCAAAAUCUAGCCCAUCCCAUGAAGAAAUAAAAAGGGCCCGGCCCAAGAAAGUAAAAUAAGCCCAUUAUGUCUAAUUCAACACUAACUCGGCGCGGUCCCUAAAGCGCUAAAAACCAAAACCCAGGAGUGGAAUUAGACCGGCCCAGGCCGGGCUCCUUUUGCCCGACCCGCACGGUUCCCCGACCGUGACUGACCCGAGUCUUCAAUUGGAACGACAGCCAGCGUUCCUGGGCAAACCAAAAUCAGAGAAAGAGUUCACGGAUCUAACCGAGGCAUUUUCACAAACAGGUGACGUGCGUUACGGAAUCGCAAGGUUGCCGGCUCAACCGCGAGCCCAACCAAGGCCAAGACUCUUGUCAAGCAACCAACAAAACAGGCAGAGGCCACACGGCCGACCGGCGGGGCCGGAGUUCGCGAGAGCCGGGCCCGGAGUGUCCGAAACAGAGUAAAGCAAGACACGCCGACGGGAACAAAAACAAGGGUGCCGGUCAGUGGUAAUCCCUACCCGGCUCGGCGGCGGCGAAGGGGGCCGAACUCGAUAGAUCGGACUACGCCCGGUCGCCUCGCGCGCCUCCAAGCCGGAAUCCUCAGGAAAUCGACCCCCAAGUCAAAAAAACGAGAAGAAACAAACUGAGCCGAGACCUGCCGUGGCUUUGGCGCGGGGAAAGGGGGCACAGCGGCGGUUCGACGGCGGCGAUUCAGGCACGGUGGCCGGCGGUCUCUCUCUCUCACUCACGACUCUCUCUCUGGGACCUCCUCUCCACCCAAUUUGUCUCUUCUCCCCCGCAACUCUUAACUCUCACUCUCUUUUAAAAGCCAGCAGCAGGCGCGCAUGGCUUCUCCCACCGCCAGCCUGCCGCGGCCGGCCUGAUCCCUCUGCCCUCUGUUGUACGUUGUGUCCCUGUCUCUGUUGUAGAGACCGUCCCUGCUUCAGGCAGCGCAAGGGAAGAGAGGCGGAGAGAUAGAGUGAGGACCGGGCUGGAGAAAAGAAAAGGAAAGAAAGAGGCCGGGCUGUGGGGAAAAGAAAAGAAACGGUAGAGGCCGGGUCGGCCCGGCCCCGCAAAUUUUUUUAAAUAAAACUUUAUUUUCUAUUUUAUUUUUUUUGUUUUUCCUCUUUUUUGUUCUUGUUUAAUGAUUUAAUAAAUUCUAUUGCUUUUUUUUAUGAAAAUGCUCUUAACACCUAUAUCCUAUGCAAUUUAAUGAGAAUUAUUUUUGUUUAAGGGUUAAAAUUAAUCCCUAAUUUUCUAUACAACUAAAUCCUAAAUGAGUAGACAAAGUUUAGAUGUCAACAAACUAUUUAUUUAUGUGAUAAAAUUUCCCUUGAAAGGUAAUGUUGAACAUCCUCUGCACAUAACGGCUUAUUGUUGCUUGUGGGGUGACUGAUUGUUAUUAAACCUUUCUAAUCUAGUUUUUACCAAAAUAGAUUUGACAAACAACACUCAGUUGCUUCCCUCGACCUUAACAGAUGCCCACGAAGAGUCGCACUCCCCAAUGACAAUCUCAUUAGAAAAAUGAAAUCAAGAAAUUACACUGAAGCUAAUUCAACCCUCACCAUUGGACUAGUCUCUUAAGAGCAUAAACCGAUCCCUACUUACGGCCAUCUCUUAGGUUAUCAACAAACAUAUUAAGGGUCAACGGGCGAGCGUUAGUAUGGUUUGAAGUUAUCAUUCACAUUUGCCAAAAAGUACCAGCUUAUCAAAAAAGUGGAUUUAAUUACUAAUCAAUUACAGAGAAUAAGAUUUCAAUAGAAAAUCGAAGCAUGAAUGCUCUAUAAGCGUUUUUCCAAAAAAUUAAGUCGGAACAAACUAGAUCAUAGGGAUGAGAGCUGCAUUUUACAAAGGCAGAGAGUUCCGGUUUACCAGAGUGCAACAUUAUAGUCUAUUCAAUCCAUAUCUACGGUCAAAUACAGAGUUGAGGGUAUCAAAUUUCUGCCUGGGAGUGUUCUUACUGAUAAUCCCCAACUAAAAAAAAAAUCAUCAGAUCCGCUCAAAUUGUCUCUACUGUUAAUUACAAAGCUGAGGGUAUCAAUCUGUCUCUACUGUUAAAUACGAAUUUGUAGUCCCAAAGUCUCUUAAAGAUACUACUGUCUCUGUUCGCACAAGAAAAAUCCCAUCAAACAAAAGAAAUCAAUAGAUACACUUAAACUAAUUUAGCUUUUAAUGUCAACCCAGUUCUUAAAGAGCGUAAAUUCAAUUCCUAAUUACAGAAAUCUCUGAGACAUCAAAAAGCUAAUGCAUAGGAGUGGCGUUGAGUUCCAAGAUCUGAGGCUUGACUGUUGCAUAGAUGGAAGCAUGAUCAGCGUCAAGAAUGUGACUAGAGUUAGGCUAGAGCUAUUAGUGUUAGACGCAACUGGUGGUGAUCAAUCAUCGAUUCAACUGAGAAAAGAAUUGAAGAGUCCCUCCAUUGUUUCCAUCAACUUCCGCACCUAGUUGCAUUACAGAACAGACCCUAUUCUAUAAAAGAAGGCAAUAAACGAGAGGAAAUUACCGUAGAUGGAAGGGGGUGAAGAUGAAGAGUCCGUAUCAAAUGCCGAGAAGCAGAUGAAGAUCCCAAGAAUAAACGGUAUUGGCUUUUGAAUUCAGCUGAUGAAGGACACGACUUAUAUUAGACGGUGAAUUCACCCUCCUUCGCCGUGCCCUUCCCAGGAAAGCGAGGGCUUGCUAGUUGCAGGGAAACUUCAAGCCGACCGAAAAAAAGUGAAUACGCGUUGCUUUUUCGCUUUUUCACUUUUGAGGUAAUCGAAGUCCAAAGAUUCUUUGGCACGAAAGGCGAGAGUACAACUGCAAGACAUUUUCAUUGCAUGUUAUUAGUUUAGAAAUUCUUUUCAUGACGAUGAAGGUGAAGCCCAGGCCCAUUCAAAUUUUACAUAUAUUAAACCUAAAAAUGUAAAAUUUAUAUAUUUUAAGUAUGUUAGACUUAUACACAAUCAGUUAGUAAAACCAAAAAAGUUAGGAAAAAGAACACCACAAAUACCAUAACCUCCAUACAACACUCAUUUAAGUACGAUAACUUUUUUGGAUCAUUUGAAUGAUGUAACUUCUAUUCAAUACUUAUUUAAAUAUCAUCAUCUUUUUUUUUCUUUUUCUUGAUCACGUGUACCAUAACUUCUUAAAAUUGUUCACAGAAUUCAACAUGAUAUAACAUUUGUGAUGAGCGUUUUUAAAAAUCAUAACACUGAAGUAAAGUUAUGACACUUAGGUGAAUAUUUUUUUAAAAGUUAUGGCACUUAAAUAAUCGGAAAAAAAUAGUUAUGAUAAUCAAGUAAAUGUUGUAUGAAAGUUAUAAUAUCCGUGGCUUUUUAUUUGUCAAAAGUUGCAUUCAGCCAUAAAGGCAUAAAGCUCCAAAAGUAUUUGCAAUACUAGUGAAAGCUUACCAACUAUAGAUGGUUCAAGCUGAACUUCUAAGACUAGGGACAUCAACAUAUGCAACCAUAGUACUGUGUCUGGUUAUCGUUUAGCAGGUUGAGUAGCCACCCGACCUUAGACAAGGCAUCCAAAACUUACUUUUUUACCAAGGAAAUUUUUAAGAGAAACUUAAUUAUCCUGUAGUCCAAAAAUUGGAAAUUACAAAGUUGUAAGUCAAUCAUGAACUACAAUAUAUAAGUCAACUUAACUUAUAUUUAUAGAUUAGUUAUGAUUAAAAAUAAAAUUAAUAAUAUGUUUAUAUGCAUCAUUGCUGAUUAAUCAAUGAAAGAAUUAUUCCAUUGUUUUUCAACAGACUGGUAAAUUAAUUCAAAUUUCUAUCAUGAUAUUGUACUGUGGAUAUUUAAAUAUAAAGGAAAUACAAUCAUACUGUAAAAUCCAUGUUAAAUAUUUUUAUUUUUAUUUUUAUUGCAUUUUAUUCUGAAAUUGGUUUUUAUAAAAAUUGACGUGGCUUUUUUUAUUAAGAGAGGCCCCGAUGUGGUUACUAAUGCCAAUGUUCUAUUUUAUAAUUAAAAUAUAAAACAUUGUUAUGAAUAUUUUAGAGAAAUAAAGAUCUAAAAAAAGGAUAGAAAAAUCAGACAAAAAUUCAUUUUGGAGAGCUGCAUUCGUCUCCAUCAACUACCUUUGAAAAUCAUUCAUUUAAAAAGAAAAAAAGAAAAAGAAAAGAAGAAGCUCCAAACAGUGUUCUGGAGAGUGGAGAUUGCAUUCGUUUUUGCACGAAUUCAUCCUACCAUAAUCAAAAUUCUUCAAAGUGGUAACAUGAAUACGCGCCUCCCCAAGUCUCGGAGAUUCUUCGCGUCCACUACCUCGCGGUCAAGCAAUGCCACCUUUUCAGGUAAACUUUGCAAAUCUGAGUAAGGUCACAGGCCACCAUUGUUGAACGGGCAAGGGCAGCCAGUGGCAAAGUCGCAGCCAGCCGCACCGGCAAGUGGCGAGGGGCUGCCACCUCGCCUGGUACAGUCGUUGCACACAUGCGCGCACACUCAGGGUGCAUUUGGAUGGGCAUUUAGAAAGCCCUUUCAAACCCCAAAAUCCUUUCAACCCAAAUUGAGGUGUUUGGCAACCAUCUUCAAGGGGCUUUCAAGUGAAAGUCGACCCUUGGGAAUGUUGAAAGCUCAAGGCUGGUCUCCACCAGCCUCGAACUUUUAGCAUUUUCGGAAUGCUAAAGGCCUCAAUUAAUGAAAAUGGUAAGUUGCCUAUUUUGUCCUCAAAACUUUAUUGAAAAACCACUUUUGCCCAUUUUAAAAACCAAGAAAACCCUAGAUCUCGCUUCUCUUCCCACCCUUCCAUCACUCUCUCCCUCGACCGCUUCUACACUCUUCGCUCGGUAGGACUCCCUCACCUGCUGCCACUGCUGCUCCACUCGAUUCUCGCCGCAUUGCUCAAGGCCUUCGCCGCCUCUCCCUCUCGAAGGUAUGGUCGUUGUCGUCAUCAAUAUCAUUGACCACUUGGUCCGCACGCGAAGUCGAACGCGAUUGUUCGAGCUUGCGGACGUCGUUCUGUGCAAUGGCGUCCUGAAUGUGCCGCGCCGCGCCUUGUCGUGCGGGAUUAGGUCUUCGUGUGCCAUUUCGAGUUCGCUCGUUGCGGGAGCGCUUGCGUCCUUGAUGUUGUUUUUCUUUUGUAUUUGGGGGAAAUGGUGGUGGUGGGUAGUGUUUCAUUUUUGCUUUGUGGGUGGCUGAAUGCUAUCAGUUCGUUUGCCAUUUUUUGUCGUGGGGGUGCUUUUGAGAUGAUGCUGCUGCUCCAAGAAACAGUGGGGGAACUCUAGGUGCUGUUGUGACUUGUCUUAGUUAAAGUGGGAUGGGUUCUGUUUUAGCUAAGAAUUGAAGGAAAGGGGAAGAGACAGAUAUUCCUGGUUCUUCGUUCCCUUCUGGCUUCUGGUUGUGUCGAUACGGUUUUGCUAGAUGGAGAGGAUGAAUAAAGUAACUGGAAAACGGUGAAGAGGUUGUGGAUCAUUCACCGUAAUUGUAAAAUUCAUUUUCUUUCGUUUAAGUUAGCCUCUGGAUGUUCCUUGUCAUUUAUUAUAGUCACCCUACAUAAGAAGGAGGCAGGAUUACAACAUAAUCCUACUCUUAAUAAUGGACAAUGUUGGGUCAAGCCGGGCACGUAGGCUGUUUUGUAGAAUUGUGCUAGGAAAGGUUACCUUUUGUUGCUAUAGCUGUUGAAAUUUUACUUGUAAUUGGAUAAGUUGCCUUCAUAUCUUGGAUGCUUAAAGUCAUUGGUUUGACCCAUGUAGAAGGAAAUAUUGUAAAUGUGCUCACUCUUCAUUACAUCAUCGUUAUCUAAUUUCUCCUCUUCUACAACUUUUCUGCAACUUUUCUGCAACUCUUUAGCUAUAGAGUUUGAGGAUUUUUGAAAUGCCUUAGCAACUUAAGUAUCUUGUCAUCAAGUACUUAUAUCACGUGCAAUUCUUUAGCUAUAGAGUUUGGGCCCUUAGGAUUUACUUGUGAAUAUUUGAGGUUAGAAUGAAACACUCUUCUGGUCCUUUUCUGGAGUGCAUUAUUUUAAAAGUUAGAUGCCCACUGUUUAUUCUCAAUUUUUUUGCUAGAGUUUGAUUAUAUUUUAAGCCACCCUUGCUUAUCUUUUGGAUUCAAAAGAGAACAGUUCGGUGAGCAGUAUACAAUACAAAAGAAAGCCUAGUAACAGCACAAUGCAAAGCCAACAUGAAUAACUGAUGUGUGUUUGUACCAGGAAAGGAAUCCCAAUGAGGCAAAAUGCUUUAAUCAUGUCUUCCUUUAACUGUAAUCUACCAACUGAGCUAUAUCCCCCCGAGCCAAGUGGAGCAUGCAUGAAGGAGUUAGAUGUGAGAUAGCUAGUAUAAGCACCUAAAGUGGGGGUGAAUAGGUGUUUAAAAUAAAUCUUGACAAAUAUAUGCAGAGUAAAAUAAACUUCGAGUAAAACAAAGGAGUUAGGGAAGAGAAUAAGAACACAAGAUUUAUAGUGGUUUGGUUUAAUCCAAGCCUACGUCCACUCUCCCAUGCUAACAUCUUUCUUGGCUGGAUUCCAUUAUGCAAUCAACAAGAGAUUACAAUUUCGAGUGCAAACACUUAGUAGAUCACACUAUCUCACUAAGUCACUCUUUUGGUAUUUCUCUCAUGAUCACAAACGUUUAAGCUUUCCAAAGACAAGUGUAUGAUUGAAGGUCGCUUAGACUUUGAAAUUAUAAAUUCUACGCUCUAUCUCUUACUUGCUCAUCGGUCAUUCAUCUCCUUAAAUACUCCUCCACUUCCAAACUAGCCGUUGGACAGUAUCCUAAAGAAUCAUCUUCCAAUAUACCCAUUGGACAGCUUUGUAUCUAAAAGAUUUGGUAGCCGUUGAGUGACAAAGGUAGAAUCCCAAAUUGAUUCGGAUCGCCCAUACAAACGAAAUCUUGGUUUCCAUAAGUAAAGCUUCUUCGUAUAGAAAGUUCUUGUCUUCAAGAUCCAAUCGUCAAUUAAAUAGAUUGAGUCCAUCAAAUCAAUCUUGAUGUGGAAUCCAAACCAGAUCACUAGGCAUUAUAUGAUUGGGCUUGAGUUACGUUCUGUCGAAUCUGGAUGUAAAGUCUGAGAGCAAUAGACUUUAUAAUCUGAGUCUGAACAUAUUCUGUUUUAGCAUAGAGUCUGUCUUCUAGUUCAGCUUUAGUAUAGAGUCUAUCUUUUGGUUCUUCCAAGUAUAGACUUUGAUAAUAUUUUUUACACGUUCUAUCAUCUGCAUAGUCUAUUACUCAACCAGCAAAUACAUUAGUAGCCUUUGAUUUAUUUUGUCAUCUUUAAAACAUCAUAAGGGAUUUCCCUAACAAGAUGCUUCUUCUAUUCUUUUCUUUUCCUUGGCGCAGCUGGCUUGCUAUUUUUCACUUAAUAUCUUUAGAAAAGAGACAGCAUAUUUUGUGCACUAGUGUGUUUCCAAUUGCCACAGCGUUUUACUAAGCAUAAGCAAACUCUCAUGAUGAUUCCAACAAUUGCUUAAAACGUGACCAUAAAUGUUGUAUCGCUAUACGAACUAUUCUUCACAUCUUGCAACAAGAAGUGUAUUAUCGAUGGACUGCUACUUGCAUUUUACAUCACUUAUCUGUACCUAAUGCUUGAUCUUUCACUGCAGAUACUUGAGAUAAGCUCAUCGAAGGGUUUUGAACAGCAAUUUAUUCUUCUAGAGACAAAAAGGUUAGUCCCAAUACGAUCUUUUUUCUUCAGGGGUUUCUACAUAUCCAACAGAAACCCUUGCUUUGCCCCGUUUUGAUUUGGUACUUUUCUUGGUCUUCUCUACUUUUGAUUUGAGUUCUGUUUGGUUUGUUGUCCGUGAACUUUUACUUGCUCUGUUGGUUGAUGAGAAAGCGAAGAAGCAGAUGCUAGUAGAAGAGCCAAUUGCUAGUUGGGGGUUUGUGAUCCAUGCUAGGAAGUUAGAGUAAUGAGUGAAAGACAAUGCUCUUAGAUCAGUCCAAUUUGGCUGGUUUAGUUGAUCUUUUUCACGAAACCUUAUGACUUCGGAGUAAUGUGUGAUCUGUUGUAGUUCAAAAAUGGCAUCAAUGAAUAAUGUUUAGCUAUUUUCAAAUGCUCUUGUUCAUGAAGUCUUUUUUUUUUUUUUAAUGUCUGCACAACUUGUCAAUUAAACAUUUGCAUUUUUUAAUGUUGCAUUGAUUAGUAGAUGGCAAGUUCAUCAAAAGAAAAGAUAUUUUGGAGCCCUGAAGAUGUUGAAACCUUUUAUAAGUUGUGCGUUGAACAAAUUGACAAUGGCAAUCGUUCUGCAAACAACAAAAGGGAUGGAUGGACGGUUAUAAUUAAGAAGUUUGAGGACCUAAGGAACAAAAAGUAUGAUAAAGGUCAAAUGAGGAGUAAGUGGGAUAAUCUUAAAGAAGAUUGGAAAAGAUGGAGGACAUUGAUCUUAAAGGAAACUGGAUUAGGAUGGGAUCCAAAAAAGAAUACCAUUAAUGCAAGUGAUGAAUGGUGGGAGAGGAAAAUUCAGGUUUUUUCCCUUCUUUUAUUAAUUUUUUUUUAAGUUCAUCUUUUUUCUAUAAAACUCACGAAAAUGUUUAUUAUAACAGGAAAAUCCUAAGAUUAGACCUUUUAGAAUGAAAGGCAUAUAUUUGGAUCUUCAAGUUUUAUUGGAUAGAAUGUUUAGAAAUACUGUUGCCACUAGAAGCAUCACAUGGAAUCCUGCACAAGGCUUACGUAUUGAUGAGGAUGUUGUGGCCACACAAUUUGACAUUGGUGGUUCAGCAAGAUUUACUGAUAAUAAUAUAGAGGACGAUGUGGGUGGAAAGACUAGUGAACAACAUCGAAGUGAUAAAAGAACGUCGUAGAGUUCGGUGAGACAUUCUCAAGGAAAGAAACAAAAGAAAAGUAUGGUUGACAAGCUAACAACGCAAAUGGAGAGGAUUUGUUUAGCUAUUGAAAGUAGAAGUUAUGCCAAAAAGUUUGAUCCUUACAAGAAACUCAUGGAGACGUUGAAAGCUAUACCCGAGAUAAAGCAAGAUCAAGAGUUAUAUGUUUUUGCACUAGAUUAUUUUUUAAAAAAGAAAGAUAAUAGGCAAAUCUUUAUGAACUUGGAUGAUAAUCAAGAAAAAGUCACAUGGCUCUAGUAUAAGUUCGCACAACGUAGGGCUCACUAGGAUAUUUGCUAUUUAUAUUUUUCAUGUGUAAUGUUAUUGUAAUGUGAUACAUAUUUGCACUACUUAUUUAUAUGAGUUGGUGAGACAUAUUUAUGCUAUGUUAUCAUACUUAUUUCUAAUUGGUGUUCUUUUUAUUGAAUGGAGUUUGCAUAUAUAUAUGAUAAGUGUUUUUUUAUUGAUGAAUGAUCUAAAUAAUUUAUUAUAUCUCUUAUUCUAAUUCUAUUUUGUUACUUUGAUCAGUUAUGGAUGACUCUCAUGAAAGAGAAAACCAUGAAAAAGAGGAAGAAGAAUAUUAGCAACUUUGUGCAGCUGCACAUAUUUGCGGUGUUUAUCAGGCAAUAUAUGGUAAAAAAAUACUGUGCAUGAUCUCAUCAUAUACAGGAAAUGUAUGGUUAAGAGAGUUGAUGGACAUGGAUGCUAAUCCUGAAAUGUUUUAUUGAAUGUUUAGAAUUGAUAGAAUUGUAUUUAAGAAUUUAAUUAAUGAUUUAGUGACACGAUAAGAUUUGCAAGGAACUAGAAAUAUUGAUGUUGCAGAAAUGCUAGAAUUGUUUCUUCAUAUUUUAGGAUAUAAUAUCGGUAAUAGGUUAGCACAAGAGCGUUUUCAGCAUUCUGGGGAAACCAUAUGCAGGCUAUUUAGCUUAGUUUUGGAUAAAGUAUGUGAAAUGGGAGCAGAUUUGAUUCAACCAUCCAAUCGACAAUUCAAAGAAGUUCCAAAGAAGAUCAGGAAUAAUACAAGAUUUUUUCCACAUUUUAAGGUAAGUUACGAUUAUACAAUAGAAAAUAUGAAUUAAAUAUAAAUCAAAUAAUAUUCUUGUUCUUGCUUUAGGAUUGUAUUAGAGCUAUAGAUGGUAUUCAUAUUCUAGCAGUGGUACCUACGAGUGAGCAGCUUCAUUUUAUUGGUCGAAAAGGAACACUGAUGCAAAAUGUGAUGGCCGUAUGUAAUUUUAAUAUGGAAUUUACUUAUGUGUGGGCCGGUUGGGAGGGAACAGCUCAUGAUACUCGUAUAUUUUAUGAAGCUAUUAGGAGACAUGAUUUACAAUUUCCUCAUCCUUCAAAAGGUUCGUUAAUUAAUGCUUUUUAUGCAUUAAUAUAUGUAUGUGUUAUAUGUUGAUUAAAUUUACAAAUUUUUUGUGUAGGUAAAUAUUAUUUGGUUGAUGCUGAAUAUCCAAAUCUCACGGGUUAUUUGGGGCCAUAUAAAGAAGUUAGAUAUCAUUUACCUGAGCGAGCAAGUUAUAAAGAAGUGUUUAAUCGUGCUCAAUCCUCACUACGAUCAGAAAUUGAGCGAGCUUUUGGCGUAUUGAAGAAGAAGUGGAAGAUUUUAAAGAGUAUGCCAAGUUAUCCAUAUACAAAGCAAGUGAAAAUUGUGAUAACAACAAUGACUUUGCACAAUUAUAUACGAAGAAAUGCCCUGAAUGAUACACAUUUUGCUAGAGUAGAUUUGGAUCCCAAUUUAUAAACAACGGAUCAUGAUGAUGUAAAUGGUGAGGGUAAUGCUUCAAAUGAUGAUGUAGCAUUUGAUAUGGCACGUUUACGUGAUCAAAUAACUAUGAAUUUAUGAAGAAAUUAAGGAUAUUUGUAAUUUUUAAGGAUAAUGAGCUUCUUUCCUCAAAGCAUAUGUUAUUAUGUUUUUAUUGUAAUGAAAGUAUUCACAUUGUAAUUGAGAAAGAGAGCACGUGAAUUUUUUCCAUUUGAUAUUUUUUAGCAAAAAAAAGAAUUUUAAUUUUAAUAAAAUUGUUUACACGACAUAUUUAACAUUGUUGUCAAAUAUAAAUUAAAAAAGUCACAAACAUUAUUUUUUUAAUUUUAAACAAAUAAAAAUUAAAAUAUUUAGAUUAAUCACAAAAUGGGCUUUGCAAAUGUGUUUUCUAGCAAACAGCAUUUUUCUCAAAGUUACUUUUCAAAGCAAAAUUUACCAAACAGUCUUUGCAUUUCAUCCAAUGCCCUUUAGGCCAAACUGCUUUGCAUUUUCCCAAUGAGCUUUCCAAAUGCCGAACCAAACGCACCCUCAGCCGCCCCACGUUUUCCUUUUUCCACGCUAGCGAAGUAGAAGCCACGAAGCAGCCCACAAUCUCUCUCCUCCCUCUCGCCAGCUGCCCCUCCCUUUUUCUCUUCCUUGCGUGUGUCUGGUUGUGCCCCAUCUUCACGGUUGUUGCUCCAAAUUUCAUUUCCUCUCAAAAUCCGCUGCUCCUCUCCUUCUCGUGCCUCUCCACAGAAGCUACUUGAUUGCUCAGUAGAUGCCACACGUCGCCAGCUUCAACGCUUUUUGGUCAACAAUCCCUCCUCUCUUUUCUACUAGCAACACCGCCUAAUUUUCCUCGGCUUUGCCGCGUUGCCACUGUUCGAAGUAGUCCCACGAGCCCAGAAGCUUCUUCAACGGCCCAUCUGCUCCAGCGAACAUGUCUUGACCAGCCCCUUUGCCGAUCACCAGCCCCGCGUCAUCCACCAACAACCGCCGAGACCAACUCAGCUCCCUCAAGCAAAAUCAGAACUGAGCAAAGCAGAAUUUCAGCCAAGCCGCGCAGCUUUGCGGGCAGAUUUUGGCCUCGGUUUGACCCUCGUUGGCGGUCUCGCUUUGAGGUUUAUCGGCCCUCGUCGCAUGCUCGACAAUUUAAUCUGAGCGGAUCUUUAAUCAUGUGAGUUUUGCUCACUAAACCCCACUUAAUAGACUAAUGAUGCUUAGGGAUUGAUUAUAUUUAAUUAAGUAUGAUUAGGUGGAUAGAUUAGACUAGAGCAAUUGAAUUAGUGCCUUAUCAAUGCAUGUUAGGCAAUUGGUUAGUAUAGUUAGCAAGUAGACACGCCCUAAUAUUUAUUGAGCGAACCUCAGAAUUUUUCCGGGUCCGUCUCGACUUCCAAUUAGGCAUUACGGGCCUAAGUUGGAUUUUUGGCAUUUAUUUAAUAAUUUUCGUAAUUAUUUAACUAAUUAAUUAUUUUCCGGAAAUUAGAUCGGGAUGGUCGACAACUGGAAUUUUAUGCUGAUUAUCGUGGUGCAAUUUUUUUAAUUUAUUAAGUGCUAGAUUGUGUUGAAUUGAUUUAUUACUAAUUUUAGGAUUUAUUCCUAAAUUAAUUAAUUGUGAUAAUUAAUUGAAAAAUUACUGGGCAUCAGUUUACAGCACCAAAAAUAUGUAAUGGGCUGUUGAAAUUGGUGGGAUAUUAAAAAAAAAAAUGAAAUUAUGAUAUUUUGGCUAAGGUUGACAAUGUCCCCACACAUGGCUAUUUUUAUCGGAGAUGAUAAAAAUUGGUGAAUUGAUUGAAUGGUCAAGAUAGUAUACUAUAUCAUCCUACGAGCUCUGACAUGUCAGCUUAGCGAGAGCAGUAUACUGGUGUACUAUAUCAACCUGCGGGUGAUAUAUCAGCUUAACGUGAGCAAUACACUUUAUCAGCUUAGAGUGAGCACCGGAGGUAUACUAUAUCAGCUUGCAGGCGAUAUGUCAGCUUAGUGAUAGCAGUAUACAGGUAUACUAUAUCAGCCUGCGGGCAAUAUGUCAGUUUAGCGGGAGCAGUAUACCUUAACUCUAUCAACUUAAUGCGAACUGUAUUAUCUAUUUAUCAACUUAGAGUGAGCAGUCCUGAUAUAGUCGGACUUUAUAGAUAGUAUUGAUUGAAUUGACCAUGGGAUCGUCCGAAGACAUGAAAUCAACUAGGUCGAUUAAUUGAUGAUUCGAUAUGAGUUCUGAAUUGACGUGAUGACGUAAUUCAAUGAUUGGUUGAUGUGAUAUAAAUCAUCUGUAAAUAAUGUUGAUUUGCAGGAUGGAAUUGAGACCAAGGUAAGUCCUCUAACUCGUGUUGUGCUUAGGCAGCCUCUAGAGUGUAUUGGCUUCUUAAUCGGGUCUUAGGGGUAGAACUUGCUGAGACGUUGUCUCACUGGUUAUUGUAUAACAAUUUUCAGGUCCUUAGAUGAUGUUGAUGGAGAAUUGGGAGCCCUGGAGUUUGGAAAGGUGGAGAGGCCAGAAUCGGCGAAUGAGUCUGACUAGUAGGUCAUAGGACAGUUCCUUUUGGAAUGAGCCGACCUUUUUGUAAAUAGUCUGGUCUAGUAAAUAAAUCCAGUUGUUUAUAAAAUGUUUGUUUUGGUUUGAAAAAUUGGCCCUACUUUUCUAUCCCAUUGAAUUGUUGUCUGGGCAUUAUUUAUCUGCUUCCGAAUGUGCAUUUAAGAAUGAAUGGGUCGGCAAUGCGUCUUAUGACAUCGCAAUUUAAUCGACCAAGGAGGGAUGGACACGUGCUUAGAGAAUCGAGGUGUGACAGAUUGACUAUGACAAGACAUAUGCACCAGUAGCCAGGUUAGAAGCCAUGAGGCUAUUGCUUGCUUAUGCAUGUUUUCAUAACUUUAAGGUAUUCUAGAUGGACAUCAAAAGCACAUUCCUCAAUAAAUUCAUCAAAGAAGAAGUUUAUGUGGAACAACCACAAUGAUUUAAAGAUUCCAAAAAGCCAGACUUUGUUUAUAGACUGAAAAAAGCGUUAUACGAUCCGAAGUAAACACCUCAUGCUUAGGCUUAACAAGUUUAUGGAUUUAAGAAUGGUAUGGUCAACAGUAUUUUAUUUAUCAAGAAAGAAGGUAAACAUUUCUUGCUAGUCCAAAUAUAUGUCGAUGACAUUAUAUUUGGUACUUCUAAUGAACUUUUGUACAAGAAAUUUUCUAAGUUUAUGCAGGAAGAAUCAGAAUUGAGUAUGAUGGGAGAAUCGACCUUCUUUCUGGGUCUAUGAGUCAGACAAUCCAAAGAAGGAACCUUCAUUUAUUAAGAAAAAUAUGCCAAAUAUAUUAUCAAGAAGUUUGAAAUGGAGAAUUGCAAAAAAGUUGAGACUACUAAGUCAAGUUUCUCCAAACUUGAUAAAGAUGAGGGUGGUAAGAAGGUGGACUAGAAAACCUACAGAAGUAUGAUUGGUUCUCUACUCUAUUUUACUACUCCUCCUCCUGAUAUUCUAUUUAGUGUGUACAUGGGUACAAGAUUUCAAGCUAAUCCUAGAAAAUCUCAUCUCAGUUCUAUUAAACGUAUUAUCAAAUAUAUUACCACUAAUCAUAAGUUAGGUUUGCGGUAUCCAAAAAAAGAAGAUUUUCCCUUACUUUGAUACUUAGACACAGAUUUAGCCGAUUGUAGAGUUGAUCGGAAAAAUACUUCAAGGACAUGCCAACUUCUAAGACAAAUGUUGAUGUCCUAAUUCUUGAAGAAACAUAAUACUGUGGCACUCUCAACCGCAUAAGCAAAAUAUGUUGCUCUUGGUAGUUGUUGUUCUCAAAUUCUAUAGAUUAUACAACAACUAAAAGACUUAAGAGAAUUAUGUACUGAAAUCAGAUACGACAACACAAGUGCGAUCAAUCUCACUAAGAACCCCAUUCUUCAUUCAAGAGUGAAGACCAUUGAGAUUCGAUACCAUUUUGUAAGAGAUCAUGUGCACAAUGGUAAAAUUAACAUUUAGUUUGUUGAUUUAAAGAAUCAACCAGCGAAUAUUUUCACCAAACCUCUUGAAAAAGAUAUGUUUGAGUAUAUUUAUGAGAAAUUUCAUAUUACUUAUCCUUUUGGUUAGAGUCUAUACAAGCUAAACUCAAGAGUACAAUCUUUUGAAAGAAAUAACACUAGGGAAGCACACUCUGACUCAAGUAUAUAUAAUUCAAAUUUUGGCGCAUAAGUUUCCUUCCUUAAUAAGCGGGUAUGAAUAUUUUAUACUUAUUCGAAUUUUGAUUUGCAUGUUAUGGUUUUUGAAAUUGUGGUUAAUUUUUCAACAUUUCCCUAACGAUUUUGUGGACAAGAACAAAUAGGCUAAUGUUCAGGGUGAGCAACAAACUUCCAAGGCACAAUCAGAUCUUCCAUCGCAUUUGAAUGUCCCCCCAGUGAACUUUGCCAAAGCUAGUGCUCAGACAGAAUAAGAUGUCAACUAUCCAAUGAUUGUUGAGCUCCUAAUGGAGAUUAAAGCAUAGUAGUAUGGUAUGGAGAUUGAAAUCCAAAAGCUACAUGCUUCUCUUGAUACUACAUCACAGUCUCUUGGUGGAAAGGUAUAGUCUCUUGAUGAAAAGGUUCAGAUCAUCAAAUAGCUAACCGUCUAGAAUAUGGCUAAGGUUGAGAAUGCCUUUAGUUAGUGCAUGGCCAAGAUUGAGGAGACCAUGCAGAACAUGGAGGACUUCCACCUUGUCCAAGUUCCAAGAAACCCUUGAUUUUUUAAAAAUCUUCAUCUUUUCAUGUCUUUUAUGUGCUUAAAUCAUUUUGGUAUGUUUUUUGGUUUGUAGUCUUUGCUUGAUUUGCAUACCUUUUUAAACCCUCUUGUUGGUGACAAAAAGGGGGAGACUCUAUGUAAAUUUUAAGACUUUGUGUGUUUUGUGCAGACUUUGGUGUGUUUGUGCAGAUUUUCGCAAACUUUUAAGUUGGUGUUUGUUAUUAAUAAAUAUUAUGCUUCUCUAAUGUCUACCUAUUCAUAAAAUUUAUAUUUUUUGCUGCUUAGGCGUUUUUUGAUAUGAUAAUAUAGACUUCAUGUCUAAAUUUGCAUGAAAGUUUUGUUACCGUCAAAAAGGAAAAGAUUGUUAAGAAAACUCAUAUCAAGAUUUUGAAGUUGACAAAACUUUAUGUUUCUAAUAUCUAUCUUAAGUGCCGAUUGCUUAUAAAUUGUUUCUAAGAAACUAUUAAAGACUUUGAUCAAAGUCUAUUAUAUUCCAGAAGCAUUUCCCACUCUAACUAGUCCAGAACGAGAUCAUGUCUAGAAUGAGGAAGAGUCUAAAACUAGACUCAGUGACGCUGUGACACAAACCCAGAAUGAACUUUAUUUGGAAAUUAUUCUUCGUCGACUAUUUUUUGGUUAAGGAUUUUACUUACCUUAUUUAAAAGCAUUAAUUAUGUGACAUCCUGAUUUUCAAAUUCUGUUUUCUAUUGGAUAAGUUAGGCUUUUCAUCGACACGCCUAUAGUUCUUUUUUCUGAAUUGGCCACUCACGAGAUAACUAACCUAUCAGGUGAGGCUAUUAAGGGAUUUUAACGCAAUAGAUUUGAGAAUUUGACCAAGAAUCGACUGCUCAGCCGUGUUAGUCUGCAAGGGUCAUUACGGCACUGUCAAAAUCGAUUAGAGACUAGAAAUAGGUCGAUUUGAUAGAGAUAUGUGAUUAGUGUGUGGGUGAUCUCACCGGAUUGCAAAAUUUCUGCCGACCGAUACUAAACCGAUUUUUUUGUCGUUUUGGUAUCCUGUAUCCGUAUUGGAAACCUCGAGAUUUUCAUGAUAACCGAGAGUCGUCAAUGUGUCAAAGAUGUACAUUGUGGCUCGAAACUAAUUGACCAUGGGUUAAUUGCAAAAAAAAAAUUCUAAAAGCUAUUCGGUGAGCUAGGUCACGCUAAAAUCGCGCCAGAGUGAAAUUAACCGCGAAUUCGAAUCCGAUUUUAGAAAUUAGAAGUUCUGUCAUGUCACGAUUCAUUCUAGGAUCGUCGACUCAUCCUCCAAAGAUUUUUCUGCAAAUCGAGAUUUUUGACGAAAAUUCAAAAUAGGGCCGUGUAUGUCCGAAAAAUUCAAGAGACCAUUUUCGAUCACGUUUUUGGGAUGCAAGUUGGUUUUAUUGGCGAGGAAAAAUGUUAAUUUGAUCGAGGGCAUCUUGGUGGAAUUUAUAGGGACCGGUUUAAGUCCAAUUGAAGAGAAAUUGAAUCCAAUUUGGUAGAAUUUGUCCCAAAAUUCGUAGGCCAUGGUCCCCUCAACCUUUGGACCACUUAGGGCCUGUUUGUUUGGAUUUCUUUUUUCUGUUUUUCAACACUUUUUCUGUUUUUUUGUUCCUGGGAACAAAAAAGGAACAGAAACGUAUUUGUGUGCGUUUUUGUUCCAAAACUAUUUUUUUGUUCCCAGAAACACAUCCGGAACAGAAACAAGAAACAAAAAAGAGUUGUUUCUUGUUUCUGAAACAAAAUUUAUAAACACUUUUCUCUUUUUUCUUUUUCUUUUCUUCUUCUUUUUUCUUUUUCUUUUCUUGUUCUUUUUUCUGUCUUUUUUCUUUGGCCAGUCGUCGGCCUCGGCCAUGGCCGGCGACCUGCCGUCGAGGGUCGGCGACGCCGUCGAGGGCCGACGACCUUGGCGGAGCGUCGCCGGCCCCUAGCGAGGCCGAGCCUCGCUGUAGCUAGGUGAGGCGAGCUCGAGCUCGCCCAGCGGUCGGUAAGGCCGAGCUUGCCCAACGACCAGCGAGGCUCAGCGUUGCCGGGCCAUCGCCAGGCGACGCCAACCUAGCGGUGGCCCGGCGAGGCUCGAGGCCGCUGGGUGAGUUUGGCCUCACCAGAUCUGGGCGAGGCCAAGCUCGCCCAGCCAAGGUGAGGCUUGGGCUCGCCGGAUUUGGGUGAGGCCGAGCCUCGCCCAACCACGGCGAGGGUCGGCCUUGCCGGGGGCUGGCGAGCCUCAUCGUGGCUGGGCGAGGCUGUCGGCCGAUUGCCGGAGGCUGGCGACCGGCCAAAGAAGAAAAAAAGAAAAAAGAAAAAAGAAAGGAAAAAAGGAAAAAGAAAAUAAAAAUAUUAAAAAAUUAAAAGAAACAAAAAAAGAAUAUAAAUUUACCAAACGUGUUUCUAUUAAUUUUUUAUUUCCAGAACAAGUUUACCAAACGCGUAUUUCUGGUCAAAAAUUGUUUCCCGGAACAUAAACACUUUUUUAUUUCUGUUCCUUGGAACAAUUUUUGAACAUAAACGUUACCAAACGCGCCCUUAAUGAACAACCAGAAGAACAAUGGAAGCGUCAAAUAAAUAGCUAAAUUGGACAACCCUGCUCAGUUUUGGAGGCAAAGGCUUGUUGUAAGUUGAUUAACCCAUCUAUUGCACGGAUUUAUUCAUGUCUUUCAUUAAUAAUUGUGCUCCCCACAACCACAGCCUGGACGAGCUGAUUUGGACAUGAACCAACAUGUCAACAACGUCACCGACAUUGGAUGUGUUCCAGAGGUAAGGGUUGCAGGCCUUCCUUCAUGUCCAUUCCGCUGGACAUGGCUCAUACUUCUAAUACGACCGAUUCAAGUUUCUUCAUCUAGUUCCCUUUGUUUUGCUGUACCAAUCUGGCUUUCAAGAAAAGAUGAGUCGAGAAUUAAAUCGUUUCAAUCUGCAUCUGGGUCGGGUUCCUCAUCGUCAUAUCUGCCGUAUUAGGAAGUUGAAGUGAUAUGCUCACAGUUUUACCAAGGCUUGCCUUUCCCGUGGGAAGAGCUUUUUCUUUGUUCCCGGUGUCACCAAGUGGACCACAAAAUUUUGUCAGAAACAUUCUGGUUUUGUGCUGCUUUCCUCUAAUUUGCCAAAAGGUGUCCUGGAAGAAGAAUAAGGAUAGAGGCUUUGGCCCAUCUAGGUCGAGCAUGUAUUUGGGCUGUACUUCAUGUUCGGCCUCACAUGGCACGAACUGUUACUGACUCUGUCUUCUGGAGUUUUUCUUGUCCCACUGACUUGUAGAGAUGAAGGCAUCAGCAGUUUUUGAUGAAAUGUUCCUCAAUCUCUCUCAUAUUCUGGAAAUCCUGUAAUCAACCUUCCUCUGAACUGCUCUCUAUGUUGUCAUCAUGACAGAGCAUGCCUCAAGAAAUUAUCAACUCCUACCAACCGCAAACGAUCACACUGGAUUACAGGCGUGAGUGUCAGCACAAUGAUGUUGUCGAUUCGCUCAGCAGUCAUGAAACCAGACGAGAACUUGGGGGCCAUCUCGCAGCUCAAUGGAACCAACGGAUCAGCCACCUCUCCGGCAACAGAAGAUUAUCGCCAGUUUCUCCACUUACUCAAGUUGUCUGGUGACGGCCUAGAAAUAGACCGUGACCCCACCCAGUGGAGAAAGAAGCCUAUGAGGUAACUAGUUUUUGACUGCACGUAAAAAGACGGUUUGUAUUUUGUAUUUGUCAUUCUUCACAAGGAUUUCUGCGCCACCGAAUCUCGCCAUUGCUUGCUUGUAGUUUUCCUUCUGCAUAGAGAACUGUGAUUUUCGUGCCGGGAAAAAGAGAAAAAAAAGAGAGAGUUAGAGAAAGGUAUGUGUACUCGGUAUGCUUAUCCGAGGUACCGCAAGGCCACCCGAGACAUGAGUUUGUAACCUAUCAUGCUGUGAUAGGUUAUCAAUAACCUUGUAGUUCAUUAUUUAAGAGGAGAAUUAUUAGAGGUAGCUCUUAGUGUUCUGUUUUCCCACUUUAAAGGAAUGCAUGCUGAAAUAUUGAGUUUUUUAUUUGAAAUGUCACUGCUUGGGAAAAGCAUUCGAGUGAUCCGUCGAAGAGUUAAACUAAGAGAUACCUAACUGAUUAAGAAAUCCUUGCCCCGAAUUACCAAGAAUUCUCUGCCCUUCACAAAACCAACAGGAGAAGAAUCGAGGUAAGACCCGGUGAGCCAUGAUAGAUGAUGGUAGGAAUUGUGGCCCAAGAUCCAAGAAAAGUUUCAGGAGGGCCUUACAACCCUUCCUUGCGAUUUCGGAUGUCCAUAAAUAUAUUCAAAUUUCUAACAUUCCUUCAAUCGAUUAGGCUUUUUUUUGUAAUUUAUCUUGAUCCGGAUUUCAUUCAUGGGCUCAAGCUUGAAAUAUAUUUCAAGAGAUUUAAAGAAAAACUUAAGCCAAUCUUUCCCUGCCAAAAGUAAACCAAACGUUGAAUAUGAACCAAAGAUAAAAAGGGAACAUAAAGUUGUUAAAAAUGUAUUAUCUUUCAUGUCAUUGAAGGGUAAAGAUAAUUGAAAAUAACGAAUCAAGAAGAAAAGGCGGCUUUUGAACAAUAAAAAGAAAAAACUAAUUUCAGUUGUUUAAGACAAGAAGUCCAAGCAAUUUUCUCCUUCCUCCUAAAUUCUAAAGUAUCGAGAUAAUUAUUUGACCAAUUAAAAACUUAGUUAUCCUUCGCUAAUUCACUCUAACUAUUCAAUCCAAUCCAAGCACAACUCCUAACUUCGAAUCCUAGUGGACGUAGGAUCAAUUUGAAACAAUUUAUAAGAACGACUCUUUGUGCAUCCCAUAUUCUUCGCACGAAGUUCUGCUGUGGACUUAAACGAGACUCUGGAGCAAAGAAGGCGGUCGAUUCCUCAUCAUCUUCCUCUGAUCUUAGGUAACUGAGAUCCACGUCUCUCUCUCUGUGAUGAUCUGUUAGUGUGUGGACAUUAAAACUUAUAAAUCAAUCAUGUUUUAGGCUCUGUUUUAAGAAUUUCUUCCGAUAAGUGAUUACUAAGGUAGAGAAGAGGGAGAACAUAUUAAUUCGGCUUCGUGCUUCGCAGGGUCGAAUCAUGGACAAGUUGCCGACGGACGUUCUCGUGUCCAUACUGUAUCUUUUGCCGAUGAAAGAAGCGGCCAGAACUAGUGUUCUCUCCCGCGCAUGGCGAGACCUGUGGAAGCAUGUGUCGUCUCUGGAUUUCGACGUCUCGCCAACCCUUAGUGUUCAAGGUGCGCCGAUGAACCUCGGCAUUUUAGAAGUCGAGUAUGUCAAUUGGGUCAAACGUGCCUCGGAAGGACGCCGAGGUCGUCUCCCGGAGGAGUUCCAGGUUCGCAUCGUUCUAGACGAAUCUUUCGGGCUUCGAUUCGCAAUAGGGAAGAAAGUGCAAAGCCUCGAGCUAGAUCUCACGGCCUACUGGCCCGACCGUGAUCGAACCAAUUACACUUUCCCGCCUAUUCACUCUCUCGACUUCGCCCGCAUGCGAUCGCUCAAGUCCCUGUGCUUGAGACGCAUCAACGUGCGAGGCUCAGUUCUCCAGCGCUUCCUCUCGGAGUGUCCGUCUCUCGAGAGGUUGCGCGUGUCGAGCUCCGAUCAUUUGAUCGACCUCAUAAUAACCGGUCCAUCCCCUCUCGAGUUGAAGCACCUGGACAUAUCGGGAUGCCGGGACUUGCAAAGCAUCGUCAUCGCAGCCCCGACUCCUAAUCUCCUUUCCUUGCGAUACGACGGAAGCAGCGUCCAAGUCGAAGUCAAGGACGCUCCUCGUCUCGCGGGACUUGCAAUCUGCGGAUCUAUCAAAGCUGCUCGCCGUUCGCUUUGGGGCUAUCUGCCCCAGCUCGACGCGCUACAUCUCAAGGUGCCGGAAGCCCAGCUGGUAUGUAUGGCACCCAUGCCUUGUACGCAAGAAAGAAAAAUUCCAGUGCGUCAUCUCUAAUGACAUCCGCCCCCUUUUGCAGUUUUCGGUAUAUCACAACAUCUCUGGCGCCUUGUUUAAAUUGAAGCACUUAACCUUGGACGUCUCUGAUGACUUCAACCUCGACGACCUCAACCCGCUUUCCCUCUAUACUUACCUUGUGGAGGAUGCUCCUUGUUUAAAUAGGUUGACCCUGCAGGUGCGCAGCCUUCCAUCUUGAUGAAGGGAUUUACAUGUGCUGUAAUUAUUACCAUGUUGAGCUCUGCGCUUCUAUAUAUACACUACUCGAUUUUGGUGUAAUUAUUUGCUCUAUGCAUAUGAAUUAUCGUAACAUAUAAUAAUAAUUGAAUUUUUUUUCUUCAUUUGCAUAAAUACUUAAUAUUCAAUAUUAAUAAAAUGAAUUAGUGUCUUAUUUCAUUUUAAAUAUAAACAGUAACUUGAUCAUAUUCAUAUCAUUUGACCAAUUCUAACUUCUUGAUUUGAAUAUUUGAAAUAUUGAUUAAAGAAGAAAGAUUCAGAAUAAUUAGGAAUAGAAAAUUCUAUUUAAGUAUUCCAUAUCUUGAUUUUUUAUUGAAACUAUAAAAAGAUAUAAGAGCCGGUGAAUUAUAAAGAAUUAAUUAAAAAUAAAAAGGAUUUUUUAUUCUGCGCUUAUAUAUAUAUAUAUAUAUAUGCCAGAAUGGACGAUAAUGAUGAAAUCAUUCUUUCCUUGCCAGGUCUUGGAUGCUCCAAGCAAGGAGGAUUUGGAAAUCCCGGUCCCUAUCCUAUACCCUCAUGAAUGUCUUGAGGUCGUAGAGAUAAUCGGCUUCAACCCGCAAAUCAGGUUCUUCACGAUCAUGCUUUUCCGGUACUGGCUCAUGAGCACUGCAUCGUUGAAGCGACUCGUUGUCGAUCCCCGCAUACCGUCCUUGUUGGGAACGCCCUCGGAAUAUCCGACACCGACCAAGCUAAGAGCAGCAAGGGAUUAUGCAUCCAGGGUAGCGCAGGUUAUCCCGCUCCCGCCAGAAGUUGAAUUGGUCAUUAUGUGAACGUCCAGUCCCUUUUUCUGUCGCGCUACUGAGGCAUAAUAUAAAUCCUUCCCGUAGGUAAACAUUUUUCUUAUCCGUCAACAGAGGUAACGUUUUUUUUUUUUUUUUGUCAUUAUAGACCCGUUAUUCGCUUUCGAUUCUAUUUAUGCGACGCCAGUUCUCUAUCUAUUUCUUUUAGUCGAUGAGCGUGUUUCGUAAGAAAUUAGAAAAAUUUGCACCAAAUUUUAAUCAUUUGGCUUAAAGUGUAACCGUGUCCAUAGUAAAAGUAAAAAAAUAAAAAAAAAUUCAAAAACAAGAAAACUGCGUCAUCACUUCAGGCCAUGCCUCUCGAGAUCGAUCCUCGAGUACCCUCUUGCAAUGGAGACAGCGCAAGAAUUUCUCCAAUUCUUGCCAAUCUGGUUUACUGAGACCGGCGAUGGAGAAUUCAAUUAGCAUCUUAAGGGUAUCUAAAUAAUUGGCCGUGGCCGGAAACUGUGACCGCAAAAUGAUCUCUGCUUGUUGAAUAAGCAGAUCCUCCAAACACGUCCAAAUCCCCGUUUCCUGUAAAAUUGGACUCGUUAGAGUCAAGAUAACUCCUACAAAUUUCAAGAACACAAGGUAUAAAUCUUUCAAGAAACCCACACAUGUAAAAUAGAACAUCUUUAGCGAUUCCAAAUGAUCGGCCUUCACACAUCAAAGAAAUAAAUACAACUCAAUCUUUUGAUUAAGUGCCCAAACAACUAAGAAACAAGAAGCAACAUAUGCAUAAAGACCCACAACGCGUAAUGCGUGCUCAUUGUACUGGAUAAUGAGGUCCUUAAGCAGUGACAGUUCUCGGGCAAUCGGGAGUCGCUCAAGCUCCCAGGCCGGCAUAAGAGUCGUCUUCAUUCGGCAAGGAGAGCCAGUCUACCAUUGUCCUUGUAGGUUCUCCACUGUUCGACUCUUCCUCUUUUUUCCAAAAUUUUGCUUUUUCACGUUUUUAUUUUCGGAAAUCUUGGAAUCAAUUUUUUUCCUUUUUUAAUUUUUCUUAAAAUUGCCGAUGUGGCAAUCAAAUUAAUUCCUCUAUCUUUAGAUAAAAAAAAAGAAGGUUAUGUCAGUUUUUUUCUGUUAACUGUAUUGGAUGAAAUUAAUAGUGAACUUGAUUGCACUAAUUUUAUAAGUUUUAAGAGUUAAUUGCACUUUUGAAAUAAAUUUUAAAACUUAUGAAGCAUUUACCCCAUUUUGAGGGAUAAUAAUACAAAUGUUUCUUGAAUUUUGGUCUAAUGUAUAAUGUCGUCCUUAGAUUUUUUUAUUUGUUGAAUGUGGUAUUUGAAUUAGUGAUAGAUGUUCGAUUUAGUUUGUCGACUAAAUGCGUCAUUUCCAUAUAAUUUAAGGACGAAUUGGAUAUUUCUUAACAAUUCAUUAACCAUUUUAAAUAAAUUUAAAGUUUUGAAAUGACAUAACACAUUUUGCCAAAAUUCAAUGAUCACAUUGAAUAAAUUAAAAAUUUAGAAACAACGUUGAAUAUUAGACGAAAGUUUAUGAAUUAUUUAUGUCAUUUUUUCAUUUUUCAAAUCUAAAACUUCAGAAACAUAAGGAUAGACACUACAUUCUUCUCCAUCAUCCUCGUGAACAUUACUCUUGCAGUUUUGAGACUGGCUGCUUUUGCAUUCCCGCUGACCAUGGAGGUGGCUGACACUAUAUUCCUGGUAGGCAUUCUAUCAAAAACUGAUCUGGCCUCACUAAUUCUGGAGCACUUACGAGUACAUAUCAACCAAUGCAUUUCCUAUAACAACAUCAUUCCUAAAUUUGUCACAUUUUACAACAUGGGCAUGAAUUUGCAUCCCUUCCUUAAGUGCCGACAAGCUAACGCAGGCGCUGACCACACUGGCUAAAGUAACCUCAUCUAUUUCGAACCCACAAUCCAUCAUACUCACAAAAACCUCAAGAGCUUCACUGGCCGGACCAUUUUGUUCAUAACACGUAAUCAAGCUGUUCCAAGAAACUAUGUUUCGAGAACUCAUUUCAUCAAAAGCACUCUGUGCAUAAGCCACGUUCCCACACUUGGAGUACAUGUCGAUAAGAGCAGAGCCCAUAUGAACAUCAGAUGAGCACUCGGACUUCGAUAUCAAAGCCUGAAUCUGUUGGCCCAGAUGCACAUCUGCUAACCCGGCACAUGCGCUAAGCGCACUACCAAAUGAGUACUCAUUAAGCACAUAAUUCUCCCUAUGCAUCUUACCAAAACAUUGCAGGGCUUCUUCGAACCUUUAAUGCUGUGCAUAACCUGAGAGCAUCGAAUUCCACGAGCACUGGUCGGGUUCCGGCAUUGACCCGAAUAUCUUUUCCGCUUCAUCAAGAGACCCCGAUCUGAUCAACCUGCCUAAGAUCGCGUUCCACGUGAAGGUAUUCUUCUCGGGCAUUCUAUUGAACACCCUGCAGGCGUCAUUGAGGCACCCACAUCUCGCGUAAACGUCGAUGAGCCGGUUCUGGAUAAAAACCUCGGCGGAGAACGGGGUCUUGAUGAUCCGAGCGUGGACGCGGCGUGUGUGGCGCGCUGACUUGGACAGGCCGCAGCCGUCCAGGAUCUUGGCGAACGGGAUCGAGGUGGCGAAGGAGAGAGGUCGCCCGCCAGAGCCUUGACCCGCGCAUGUCUCGCCAUUCCAUCAUAUCAUCGUACGAAGCGAACUCUGUCGGAGAAGAUUCGCAUAGAUGCAAAUUGAAUGCGAUGGGGAGUUUCUGUUGACCGUUAUACGCUUCCCCCCUUCAGCCCGACGCGCGGGAAUAUGUUGAGAGCGCUCAUAUGAAGAGGGAAGGCAAAGUUGCAGUGGCAAAGUGGUAAUUUCGGCAUGACAAUAUAUUAAUUAGACUCAUAACCAUGAAUUAUAUUUUUGAUUAUGAGUAAAUCUAAGCUACAAAUUAAAAUGUGUCAUAGAUUUAAUAUCUUGUUGUAAGUCACUAAAUAAAGAUUAGUCAUAUUAAUCUAUACAACUUAUUGCUUUAUCAACUAUAAUUAUAAGUUUGAUAUAGGACAAGUCAAUUUUAUAACCAAGUUAUUUAUAAAUCAAACAUGAAUUCUUGUCCAGUAAUUUUGAUUAUUUUAAUUGUAACUCAUCAUCAAAAAAAUGCAAAAAGCAAUUCAAGAGAAUGAAAAUUGGAUCUAUGCCGGAUUACAUGGGAUAGCCUUUCAAUGGCCCCCCUCCCAUGAGAAAUAGCUAACCUUGAUUUUAAGAGAAUAACUUCUUUGAAGUAACUAAUCUUGAUUUACUUCUUAGCCAACUAAGGACUAAGUGUCAUCAUGAAUAGACCGGAAAUAGAUAGUUAUUGUGUCGUUCUUGGAUUAAUUUGAAGUACUAUUCAUUUUGGUUCGUCCUAUUUUGAGUCUCAUGGUUUUGUCCUUCAAGCGUACAGGCAAACGAUAGAUUAUUGUGACAUUUUUGGAUUAAUUCACUUGAAAUAUUAUUUGCUUUUACCCAUUUCAUUCCAAGUCUCACAAUUUUGUCUUUGGGCAUAUGGGCAAACACUUUCUGAGAAGAUAAUAUUCUAGUCUAAUCACACCCAACUUUGGAGUGGAAAAACCAAAUAGGUGAAGUGCCUACCCAUAAGCUAAAGGACAAAACCGUUAGGGUCGGAAUGAGACAAGUCAAAGUAAACAAAAUCUCAAGAGAGUUAAUGUAGAAACCAUCACAUUAUUCUUCCUUGAAUAAAACGCACGGCUGGAUUUUUUAUUAAGACAGCAUCUUGUUCAUGUAAGGUCUGUCCCUUUUGUUUUGUUUUGUUUUGCUUUGUUUUUUUUUUUUUUUUUUUUUUGGUCGAAUGAAUAAUUUGGACAUUGUCCUAUUAUGGUGAGAAAAAUCAAUUAACCUUAUAAAGUGCGCAUUCAUGUGAGCCCUUGCAAGGGAGAGCUUCAUGAUAAGAAAUGAAGCCCAUCUGAAUUCACAUCCAAUUUUUCAAGGCUUUGCAACUCUUUCAGCUUUAUGCGACCAAGAACCGUCACAUCUGAGAGUUGUCUCAGGUUUUAGAAAGGUCUAUUGAUGUUCUAAUUCCCUGGCGAAGCGGGAUAUGUAAGAUGGACAAAACUCCUGGGAAGCCUAGGCAAGAACCUGAGGUUCUUUAAACAUUGAGAACAAGUUUCCUGAGAUUGCAACUCCAAGGACUCCAGAUGGCGUAACCUGUCAAUCCACCAAGAUCAUGGAGCUUCCUUAAGCCCGUAACUGUCGUAAGAAUACCUCGACACAUAUAAAUGCAAGCUUCUUGGAUUUAAUUGGUACGGGAGAUCUGGAAAUGUGAACAUUGAGAAAAUUACAAGCACAGAUUAAUUCCAAGCCCAUAGCACCAAAGAAUUUUGCCCUGAAGAUUCAUAAGUUCUCUACUUCUGCGACAAGAACUUAAAUCCCAACUGAUAAUUGUUGAAACUUAAAACGCAGUCAGUAAUCAUUCAGAAGCCCCUGUAGAAAUCUGUUCUAAGUUAUCAAAACUAAAGGACCUUUGUGACCAUUGCACAUGAUCAUUAACUAGUGAGGGUUAUGUUCAUGCUAGACAAGAUGUUUUGUCCUACUUCUUCAUUUCCUCUACAAUUCUGUGAAUAUGGUCGCUGAUGGUCACUGAUGUCUAAUGGAAUUCACGACACUGAAUGCAACACAUUGAACAUUAAUCUCUGUGAAUGAAUUCUGAAGCAAGUCAUCUUGAAUCCUCGAUGAAUUUCUCCCAUGACGAGAUUAAUUAUUAAUUGCACCCACUAAAAAUUUUAGAAGUAGGACCAUAACAGACGCAAAAAUGAAGAACGAAAUUCCAAGACAAUGAUUCGGUUUUAGCUAGACUUAACAAGCUCAGAAGAACAACUGAUUCCCAUGUAUGUUUUGAACUACUUCCUAAGGAGCCAAAAUCAAUUCUCUAAUUGGUGCGCACAGGAGUUGCAAUGUGCUUCAAUAGAAUGUGACUUGGUUAAGGCUAAAGCUAUCAAAGAUUAGAUGCGCAGAUGGAACAAUAUCAAUCGAGUCAGCUGCCGAGUGGUUUCAUGGAAAGGCUGUUUUCAUUGCGUAUGUAUGAUAAGUCAUGACUGAAAAUAAUAAGAACAACUCAAUCCGUCCAAAUCUUUUCCUAAUUUAUCACUGAUUGCAUCAACGAUUUGCACGCGGACCCAAUUCAUGCAACAUCAAAGAGACAAUUACCAGAAAAGGAAUACAGGUGAAGAACUGAAGAUGAAGAAAACCAAAUGAAGAUGGCAGAGAAGGAAGAACCCUUGCUGGCCUGAAAGGAAGACAGGGUCGCAGUCCCGGAGGGAGAUCUCCACCAGGUCGAAUCACGUCUCGUGCUUCCACUCGGGGUCGCUGUCGCUUCCUUGACGGUCGGAGUCCGUCGCUGCUGGUUCUGGACGAGCUUCUCGCUCGGGUCGUCCCUGACGAGGGAGGAAGACGAAGAGAGGAGAAAGAAUGUGAGAGGAGAGAGAGAGAGAAGGCUAUGGGAGAAAAAACGAAACGAAAAAACAGAGAGAGAAAGUUGAAAUUUCUCAAGAGUGGGUCCCACCUAUACGUGCCAUCUCGAGUAACUAUUCCCCACCGCGCUUUUGAGGUAAUCUAGGCUGCACAUGACAAAAUUUUUGAAACAUAAAUUGAUUUUUGGCCAGAAAUCAAUUUCUUAAUUUCUAUUCCCCGGACAAGUUUCUGAGCAAAGAAACUCGUUUGAUAACGACUCAAAAUUUCUAUUUCUGAAACAGAAAUCCGUUUGAUAACAUAACAAAAUUUCUAUUUCUAGGAAUAGAAAUUGAUUAGAUAACAAUAUAUGAAAUCCUCAAAUACAAAAUAAUAGUCGAAAUAAUACUAAAAUAACAUAGAAAAUCCUCAAAUACAAAAUAAUAGUUGAAAUAAUACUAAUACAUUACAAAAGUUGAAAAUACAAUUUCUUGGAAUUUCCGACAUAUUAUUAUUCCUUGCAAUUUUAUUAGCAAUUGUUUUUCUAAGCGUAUUUAUUUAGUUUCCCCUUCGGUCAAUGUAUUGUUUGCAAGCUCAUCCUGCGUAGGUUCUUUUUUUUUUUUUUUUCAGACAAGUAUUACAGAAGCAUGAAUAUGGGUGCCAUCAAUGGCGCCUAUACAACCUUGUUAUUUUAUCAAAAACUAGUAUUAUACAAGAUUAUCAACAAAAUAAAAUUAAUGAUGUAAAGGAAUAUAUGAGAAUUCUACCUUAAAGUAAUGUUUAUGGUUAGGAACUAAUUGAGGGAAGGUCAGUUCAUUUUGAUUCUCGAAUUGAAUCAGUCCAGUUGCUCAUCCCUAAUUUCGUUAUUGUUGCUCAAUGAACCUUUAAUGGCCGUUACAUAACAAAGAGAGAGAUUCUCUUGAAUCUCUUGCAUUCGAAUUAAAAUUCAAGAUUGUAUAACAAUCUAAUUAUUUUGAUUUUGCAAGAAUUUUGAAUCCAUAAAAAAAAAAAAAGGUUAAAUUUCUAGGCACGUUUUUUAUUCAUCGAUUACGUAAGAACUUUUUCUUCAACUAGCCAUACGCAUGCCUUUUCUAAGAGGAAAGAGCCACAUUAUUUUUAAGUAAGCAUUUAAGAACUUUGGUCGCUUUUUUUUUUUUUAUUGGGGACCCAUUCGAUUGCAUUUCAUCAUAAAGAGGAGGUUAUAAAAAAAAUUGAAAAAAAAAUGCAAAAAAAAAAAAACACGAGCAAAAUAAGAAAAAGAAAAUUAGCAAUAAUUAAUGAAGUUAUAGUUAUGAGUAAAUUAAGUUAGCAAGAAAGCGCAAGGUUUUUUUAUAUGGUUUGAUUUCAGUUUCUGAUUUCUAUUUCAGAAACUGAGAAAUUAAAAAUUUCAACUUCUGAUUUCUUCAAUUUCUCUAUUUCUAAAAUAGAAAUUUGUUUCAGAAAUAGAGAAAUCAAAUUGCGUUACCAAACGGAUUUCUGUUCCAAACCUAUUCCGAGGAACAGAGAAACAGAGAAACAGAGAAAUCGAGAAACAUAAAUUUUGCCAUGUGCGCUCCUAGUCUCAUCUUAAAUCUAGCCAAGGGUAUUCUCACUUUUUUCAAAUCUCUGUACUCUUCGAAUAUCAGAAUCUCCUCUAAUCUCUCACAUUUUGCUAUUGCCACUUUCUCUAGCUUCUUGAAGCUUGCAGGCUCAGGAAACUUUCGUAGGGACCCGCAACUUUUAAUAAGAAGCCUCUCCAAUGAUUCUAGCCUACCUCAAAUCUCAAUCAGAUUAGGACAAUCCCCUAACUCAAGAUCCUUGAGCUCAUUUGCGUUGGUUAGGUCAGGCAACUUCUAUAGCAUCGGAAGAUCCCUCACUUGUAAGAACAUCAAGUUCUCCGAAUAUUCCAAGCCUUGAAUCUCUUUGAGCUUCCAACAGCCCUCUAUCAUUAAGAUCUUUAUAUGCUUGAAGGUUAGUGGAUCAGGCAACUUUUCGAGUGUUUCACAGCGGUUUAAAUAGAGAACGUCCAAUGAUUCUAGCUUACCACGAACCUCAACUACUUUAGAACAAUCUUCUAUGUGAAGUCCCCAGAGCUUCUUCAAGCCGGUCAGGUCAAGCAACUUCACUAGUGAUAGAAGACGAACAAGACGAAGGCCUCAUAGGUUUUUCAAAUGUUGGAGGCCUUGAAUCUCCAUUAGCUAUCUACAAUUAUAGACGUGCAAUCCUGACAACUUCUCCAGAUAUGAAAUAUUUAUUGACUUUUCCGUUAACCUACACCUAACAAGAUGGAAAAAUGACAAAUUCUGAGGAAGCCUAGGUAGGCAUUCUAGGUUAUUUACCAAGAGUUCAAGGUGCCUGAGCUUCAAAAGGAGAUUAAAAUCUGAAGGUAGGGUGAACAGACCAUCACAACACAACUGCAAGGUUUCUAGCUUUCUUAAACCUCCUAUCCAAUUGAGGCUUGGAGCUAGAUGGGAAGGGAUUCGAUACUUUAAAUCCAACGUCAAAUUUCUCAAAUUUGAUAGGUUUGAGAGAUUUGGGCAUCUCAUAUGUUGAUUAUGGCUCAGGUAUAGAUUGGUCAUACUUUCAAGAAGCUUAGGUAUAUUAGAAAUUCCCGUUUUUGUUAAUCUCAAGAUUCUCAGAAAUGAUAGUCUUCCAAUCUCACUUGGAAUUUCCCCACACAAAUAUUCACAAUCAUAAGCUUCAAUCUCUUCAAGCUUCUCCAACAUCCCAAGGGUGCUAGGUAGCUUUUCUAAGAUGGUGCUAGAGAUCCUUAGUACUCUCAAAUUCUUCAUUGUCUCCAUUGAAUUGGGUAAUUCUCGUAUCCUCGACUGAGAAAGAUUCAACUCAAUGAGAGAACCAAAAUUUCCAAUUGAAAGUUCACUAAUACUUGUACAUGACAAGCAAAGAUAUAACAGUGAUGUUGAGCAACCAACUAAAUUGCAUUCACUCAGUAAUCCACAUGAAUUUGCACUGAGAGUUUUCAAUUUCUUCAUUCCUUUCCAUUUAGGAAUUUUGGUAAUAGAUGUCCCGUCAAGAAGAAGAACUGUCAAGGCUUCCAAUCCCUCCAUCUCAUUUGGCAAUGUCUGAAGUUUGCUACAACCUUCCAUUAAAAACACUAACUACUUCAACUUACCAAUAGACCUGUCAACUUGAACUAGCUCCUUGCACCCUUGAAGAAUCAGUUGCUCUAAAUUUUCAUGAGUAGAAACAUUAGGAGCUUUAUGCAAGUUGCUACAUUUAGUCAAAUUUACAACCUUCAAAUUCUUUGCCAUCUGUAAUGAAGAGGAGGUUAAUUCUAGAUCAUUUAAGAUACAGGACAAUAAAGUUAACAUAGCAAGUUCAUGUUGAAAAAAUACCAUACCUUGAGGUGGUUCCAUCCCUCCCAAUCAUUAGUAAUUUGACUCUGUGAUAGAUCAACAAUCACUAUCUUCGUAAGGGAAAAUGAGGUCAAUUGGAAAAAGAUGGGAAACUCAUGCCACGAGAGAUCUCAAAUUUGGAAGGAUGAGCGGAUUUUCUGAAACCACUUGGUUGAAGGACAAUGCUGAAAAUUUUUUUGCCAUGAGAGGUAUCUCAACUUAGGAAGGUUGGAUAGAUUCCUCUGGAACCAAUUGGUUAAAGAAAAAUGCUGGACAUUUUUCAUAUCCAAGUCUCCACAAUCCACUUGAAGAAACCUCAAAUUUGAUAGACUUGCAAAUUCUUCCUUCUUAAAGAAGCAUUGAGAUUGACGAUCAAACUUGAGACGUACUGCUUCAACGUUUUCUCUCCCUUGCUGAAGCCCAAAAAAUAAAUAAAUGGAAGAUAGUGAUCACAUAAUUUCCUGUUGAAGGGAUCUGAGUUGAACAUACUUCAGGAAUGUACAUUUUAUUUAUACUUUCAAAUUAAUUUACAAUAUGAUUUAUAGAUGAGCUUGUCAUCAUAGUAAGCAGAAAAGUAAUAACUCAGUUCAGAUAGAAGCAAUUAACCAAAAUUGACGUGUAUAACUCAUCCCUCUCCGAAUAGGAAUAAAAUUGCGCACACUUUACCUUUUCUAUGAGAAUACUAUUUCCUUGUUCAUGAUCCCACACCCAACUUUGCUUCUUUGGUGUAAAUGUACCAAUCCAACAAAUGAAAUGUCGCCCAAUGUCCCUUAAUAGAUCAUGCAUUCACAACCAGUCAUAGUUUGUCAUCUUUAUUAACGACAUCUGUCGGAGGACAUCAAGAUAAUAGUCAAGUAAAAACCCACAACUUUUCCACAUGUGCCUCACAAUUUUCACAUCAAACCCAAUGAAGAAGCAACAAAUAUCGAGAAAUAUUUCCUUGGCAUGCGGUUGUAAUGCAUUGAUACUGAUGUUCAACUUUUCUUCAACAUUUUCAUUGGGAAUAAUUUCUAGCUUCUCUAAUGUGGUUUCCCAAAAUUUUCUGUCUUUUCCAGCUAAAAAUGAGCCUACGAUCUCAAGAGCCAAAGGAAGAUGACCAUAGACUUUCACCGCUUUUUCGGAGAGAGAGACGUAUUCUGCUAGAGGAUGAUCACUUCUAAAUGCAUGUCUGCUGAAUAGUUGGAGAGAAUGAUCAAAAUCCAUUCCAGUAAGUUCGUGCUUCAACUCAACAUCUUUGAGAACUUCUUUGUUUCUUGUGGUAAUUAUAAUCUUACUUCCACUGCCAAACCAGCAUUUACCCAUUCCCACAAAAGCAUCCAGCUUAGUCUUUGGGUCGACAUCAUCAAGUAGAAGUAUGACCUUUUUAGAGGAUAACAUGUCCUUGAUCACCCUUUUCCCUUCAUUGAUAUCAUUCAUGGUCUAUCGUUUCUUUCCUAGGACAUCAGAGAUGAGCUGAUUCUGCAAACUCUCAAUUUUCAUAUCUCCAAUGUUGGACAGGGAGCAACAUUUAGUGGAAUCAGUGAUCCGUUCACUUUUCACUUCCAUGAUUCUAUCCACUUGAUCGUCCAUUUCCUCCGAGGAAUUAGACAAGUUGUAAUGUUUAGUGGAACCGGACAACAAUUUGUUAUAGAUGAUUUUGGCAAGAGUUGUCUUUCUAACACCACCCAUACCAUGGAUACCAACAAUCUUUGUUUGAGCAGUGUACUCACCUAUUAAUUCCAUGAUUCUGUCCACGUGAUCGUCCAUUUCAACCAAGAAAUCAGAUAAUGCCAAGUAGUUCUUUUUCAAUUCAAUCAAAACCUUCUAAACAACUUCUCUUGUGAACUCACCUUUGCCCUCUGAUAAUAUUGAAGGCAAAAGAACCAAAGUAUUAAAUCAAGAUGAACAUAAUAAUAUCUAAGGUACAAACAAAUCAUGCACAAUAAUAAAUUCAAGUACCUCUCCUUGAGUUCCCAUCCCUUUAAUUUUCCAACCUUUUUGAGAGCUGCCUUCCAGUUCUCAAUAGUCUCGUCAGUGUACAACUACUUAUCUAUGUAUGACUGAAUGGCCUUGCCGUAAGUUGCAGUUUGGUUACGAACCUCGGAUGGUUCAAUGUCACAGAAAAUUGGCAUGAUCUUUUGUCCCCACUUUUCCUUGCAUUCCACCAUCUAGACCAACUCCAUGAGGCACCAUUUACUGGCAACAUAAUGUUUAGAAAAAAUAGGAAUCGAGAUUUUAGACUGCUUAAUCGCUUGAAGAAGCUCCAGCCCAAUCUCUUCCCCAAUGCGAAGCUCUUCAUCAUCUCUAUAUGCCCGUAUUCCAGCAUCAAUGAGGCUAUUGUAAAGGAUAUCAGUGAUGUCAUGAUGAGUAUCCGGUCCUCUAAAGUUCAAGAAUACUUCAUAACAAGGUUUCAUUGGCUUCUCCAUUUCCUGAAUUUUCAGAGGACUAGCAAUAAUUCGAUAUCCCACCUGGAAGAACGUUUACAAUGAAAGUGGAGUGAUGAUUAUCAUGAUUUCUCUAGAAAAUCUUCUAUUUUAAGUCAUUCUAGAAAGAAACCUCAAUGACAAAUGCACAGCUCCUUCUGGCAUUGUCCUGGACACCAACAUAUGUCCGAUUAUUAUAUCAACAAUAUAGCAGAGAAGUUGACCCAUCUCAACACUAAAGGAAGAAAUCUCCAAAUUAUUGCGAAAUGGAUUUCAAUUCACACUUGAAAUUGAUAAUUAAAAUGAAAAUUUCAAGAAGAUGUAUCACUGUCAACUUAUUUUUGACUGAAACUUUUUACUUAUUUAAUAAAAAUUUUCUUAAAAGGUAACGUUGAAUAUCCUCUGCACAUAAGCACCUGCUGUGGCUUGUAGGUUGACUAAUUAUCUUAUCAUCUCAUAAGAAGUUAUGCCAAAGCCGUACUCUUUUAAUUUUACCAGAAUCGGUUUGACAAAAACAUUCCACAACAGUCAAUUAGUUGCUCACUUGACCUUAAUGGGCGCAGGCAAAGAAUCGCAUUCACCUAUGACAAUCUCAUUAGAAAAAUGAAAUCAAGAAAUUACUCUACAGCUAAUUCAACCCCCAACAUCGGACUAGUUCUGAAAAGCAUAAACCGAUCCCUUAUUACAGCCAUCUCUUAGUUUAUUAACAAACAGAUACAUGGUUAAUGGGCGAGCAUUGGUUAGGCAUGAGGCUAUUAUUCACAUCUGCCAGACAGUAUCAGCAUAUCAGACUUGUGGAGUUGAUAAAAAUUCAACAGAAAAGAGAAGCAUGAAUGCUAUAAUUAUUUUUCCAGCAAAAUAGGUUUUGGGUGCGUUUGGAUGGGCAUUUAGAAAGCCCAUCCAGCCCCCAAAGCUCCUUCAGCCAAAGAGGGGGUGUUUGGCAACCCUCUCAAGGAGCUUUCAAAUGAAAGCAGGGUACUUGGAAAUGCUGAAAGCCCAAGGCUGGUAGGGACCAGCCUUGAGCUUUCAGCCUUCUACCAAAUGCUGAAAAUAUUUUUUUCUUUCCUAAACUACCCUCAUUGAUUUUUUAUAUUUCCAUUAUUGUCCCUGUAUUUAUAUUUUUUUUUAAAUGAAAAAGGAGCAGCCUUCGCCGGUCCGGCGAAGGGCGAAGGGCGACGGCGACGGCCGCCGGCGAGCUAGAUCUGGCGCCGGCGGCCGCAGCCCUUCGCCGGCCGGCGAAGGGUUUAGCUGAUUUUUCAAAAAAAAAAGAAAAGAAAAUAUAUAUAUACAUAUUAUACCCAUCAAAAGCUCAUUGCAAAUGUUCUUCUUACCAAACACACAUUCAACACAAAGCUCAUUUACAAAAUUUUUUUACCAAACACUAUCACAUUUUUCCCAAGUAGCUUUGGGCUUUCAGCAUUUGCAUUGGACUCAAAGCCCAUUGCAAAUGCUGAACCAAACGCAGCCUUUAACACAUAGGAAAGCAAGAACGAGAGAUGCAUUUCACAAAAGCUGAGAGUUCCGGCUCGCCACAGAGUGCAACAUUAUAGUCUCUGCAGUCAGCCUCUUCUGUUAAAUACCAAGUUGUGUGUAUCAAUUUUCUCCCUAGGAGUGAUCUUACUGCUAAUUACCAGACAAUAGUGUACUAGUUUGACGUAUCAAAGUCUCUUAGAGACACCAGUAUCUCUGAUCGCACAAGAAAAUCCCAUCAAACAAAUUUAAUUAACUGAUUCCACUCAAACUAAAUUAGCUUUUAGCACCGGCCCAGUUCCUAAAGAGCGGAAAUUCAAUCCCCGGUUACAGAAUCAACAAAAUGAUGCAUAGGAGAGGUAUUGCGUUUCAAGAUCUGAGGCCUGACAUUUGCGCAGAUGGAAGCAGAUGAGCGAGGUUUUAGCAUCGGACUAGAGUUAGAGGCAAAAGCUAUCAGUGUUAGACGCAACUGGCAGUGAUCAAUCAUGAAGUCAACUGAGGAAAGAAUUGAUACUGAUCUGAGAGUCCCUCUCUUGUUUCCAUCAAAUUCUGCAUCUAGUUGCAUUACAGAGCAGACCCAAUUCAUUAAAAAAGAAGGCAAUCAACGAUAGGAAAUUACCGGAGAUGGAGGGGGUGAAGAUGAAGAGUCCGGAUCAAAUGCUGAGAAGCAGACAAAGAUCCCAAGAAUAAACGCUCUUGGCUUUUGAGAUCAGCUGAAGAAAGAGUGAGUACGCCUUCUGCCCUUCCAGGAAAGUGAGGCCUUGCUAGCUGCUGGAACACUUCAAGCCGACCGUGAAAAAGUGACUUCGCGUUGCUUUUAGCUUUUGAGGUGAUCGAGUUGAGUUCCUGGGAAAUUUCUGGGAGUACGAAGACUCUUCGGCACGAAAUGCGAGAGGACGAGAUUUUCAUGCGUGUUAUUAGUUUAGAAAUCAUUCAAUAUAUGGUAUUCUUUUUAUGACGACUAAACCCUUCUCUUGUGGGUGGAAAUCCAGGCCCAUUCAAAUUUUACUUAUACUAAACCUAAAAAUGUAAAAUUCAUAUAUAUUAAUUUAUUGAGAUGAAUUAUGUUAGUGUUAUUCAUAGUGAAUUUAUAAGACAAAAAAAGUUGGGAAAAAUAACUACAAAUGAAAUAAUAUUUAUACAACACUCAACUGAGUAUUAUAAUUUUUUUUUGGAUUACUUGAGUAAUUUAAUUUUUAUUCGGUACUCACUUAAGCGCCAAUAACUUUAUUUUUGAUUAUUUGAGUGUAUAUAACAUUUCAAUCGAUCACUUGUGCUAUAAAUUCUUAAAAUCAUUUAUCCAAAUGCCAAAUAUCUCUUAUUCAUUUCAUUACCUACAUCUAUGUUAGCUCUUAUAUGGAUUUUAUCAAUGCAAGUAAUGGGAUUUAAUGGCUCAAUUCAUUUACUCAUUAUGCCUCUUUUGCCGUAUCAAAAACGAGACAAGAGAGUGAAAAGCACAAUAUUUCUAUGCAUUAUAAUUAAUUAAUUCUUGUCCAACUACUUUUCUUUUUGGAUCAUUAUUCGGUAAUUGAUACAAUAAUAGUUAGUACAUUGUUUCUUCUUUAACAGAAAGCCAAUCAUUCGGCUUCUCAGUACAUGAUCAAAUUUGUUGGAUUCUUGAAGCUGGAAAGGUCGGGUAGCUUUCCUGAGCCAGUCAAUAUGAUGCAUCUCCAAUUGUUCUGCUUUGCCUCAAAUCUCAACCGGUUUAGGACAAAUCCAUGGGAGAAGUUUUGGACAACGUCUUCAAUUAAGGCAGACCUGCAAGCAUUAAUAAUAGUGUACAAUUUCUGGCAUCAAAAUUUUGUGAGUGUUCUUUUCAAUUCUGAAAUUUCUAUCAAACUCAAUUCGAUAGAGAUGCUUCUGUUAUUUUGCCUGGUAUAGUAUUGAGGGCCAUGUUGCUGCAUUGUCGAAAAAGGUAAUGAGUGGCAUACAUGGUGAAGUUCUUAGAUACAAUCAACUGAGACAAACUAAAUUUAAGGCAAAGAAAAGAGAGCCAUUGGAAAGUAUGGUUAUCGAAUUUUCUGUCAACUUUAUCCCUCAAAAGUUCAUGUUCUUUGGACUCUCUAGAUUCUUACAGCACUCGGGAAAUUUGCGAAUCAAUUUUUACUCCUUCACCCUCUCACAACCGCUAUAGGAAAUAAUACGAACUGCGGAGAGGAAGAAUUGGUAUCUGAAAUAUUGACAGUCUAUACCUGAGGGAAUGGUAGGAACAGAAGACCCACAGCAGAAGCAAUACGAAAAAACCUUCUACGUUGGAAGCUUAGUUUGGAUCCAAUGGUAACACAAUUGAGAGAAGAAAUAUUUGUACUAAUAUUUUCUGAUUAUUACAUAAGGAGCUUGCCAUAUACAGAGUUUUGAGUUGCUGGCCAACCACUGAAAUCAGGUGCGCAACCAACAUUUACGUUCUACCAUUAACCAAACUCAGAAGUCCAAGACAUAAAGUACCUUAAAAACAACAAAAAGAUACUCAUAAGUUGGAUUCCGCAAAAUCAGACUGCGUCUAUUCCUCAAGUACUUCACUGAUCAUCAGCACUCAAGAGAACAUUCUACCUUCUCACGCUUGAGUGUAUAAAAAGAUUUUAGCUUCUCAAUCCGGUAACUUCUCCAAAGAUUUAAAAGGAACAUCUAAAGUUGCCUCCAACGAUUUUACUCUGCCUUGGAUCUCAACCACUUUAGGACAUCACUGCAGAUAAAAUUUCUGGAGCUUCUUCAGGUUGGUCAGGUCAGGCAACUUGUCCACAGAUGGAACUCCUUCAAGCUUGAAGGCAAUUGGGUUCUCCAAAACUUGGAGGCUUCUGAACUCUCUCACUUUAGGGCGACGACCAACUUCCAAAUCUGACAGCGCCUUCCAAUUUGAAAGCUCUAUUCACGUUUUUAUUUCCUUGCAUGAUUCGGUAUCUAAGUACAACAAAUUUGGGGGAAGGCCAGGUCGGCAGUGCAGCUUCUUGGAGGGGACCAGUUCAGGUUCCUUGAGCUGUGAAAGAAAAAUGAUGUCUGAAGAUGGGGUGAUGAAAUAAUGAGAUUCCAACAGCAAGGAUUCCAGCUUCCCUAACCUUCUGAGCAACGAAGGACUUGGAGCUUCAAUGAAAUUAGAAGCAUCAUCCAAAUUGUCAAAACCUGAAUUUUACAUGCAAUUUGAAUAUUGAAUUAAUAAGUUACUUAUCAUCAAGUGAAUGUACAUAAUUUUUUUUACUACUUUACGUAAUUAAAACCUUGUACAGAAGAUCUGCCUUAAAAAGAUAUGUAGAAGCGCAAAUCUAAACAUCCCUAAACUCCGAACCAACCAAUAUGUAUAAUAUUUUUGAGGGAAUGAGUUGACAUUCAGUAAAUGAUAGCUCUACUUCCAAAAUGGGAGGCCUACCCACUACUCAACCCGAGAACAUAACAAUAGCAAUUUGCAAAUAAGGUCAUAUAUUAUUAUCAAUAGGAAAACCAAUAUUCACCUAAGACAGUGUAAUCCGUGCAUUAUAUAAAAAUGACUAUAAUUAUCUGUGCAAUGAAUAAAAUAGAAGCAAUGUAUGAUAUUCGUUUUAACGCUUAAAUGCACACAAUUGAUCAUACCAAAUCUCAUGAUGUAUAGACAUCAACAGCUCAUCGAUAGACACAAGUAUUUAUCUAUUACCUACUUGCUACUAGCCACGACUCAUCUUGACUACCUCAACUAACAAGACAUUGUGACCACUAAAUAAUGCAAGAAGAAAUCAUAAAUACAUAUUUACCACGCUUCAUCCCAUUCAUCACAGGUAUCCUCCAACGAUGAUAAAUACAGUACAAACGCAUAAUGACAGCUAUCCUAGACUCAAUUCUCAUCAAGAUUCAUACCCAUUCUAUUUUCUUUCUUCUCUCAAUCUUGGACCUCAAGUUCAUAAUAUCAUACAUAGGCUAUUCAAGUCACAUCAGGUUACACAAGUCAUAUAAUUUCAUGUAUAAAUCAUUGUACUUUACAUUUUCUCAAUCUUAUAGAGAACGGUAGAACAUCUGUCUUUUCCCAGAAUCUUAUAUACAUACUCAGAAAAAUUAAUUAUAGUGUUGGUAUAUUGCUAACAACACUCGUAGAAUUUCAAUGGAGUUGGUAAUUUACUUAAUAUGGGGAACAAGCACACUUGGAAGGUGCAGCACAGUGGAAAGUUGUAUGCCAUGUUCAAAAGUAUUGUUAUUAAUUUACUUACGAUACUGGUUAAAUUUCAAAUGAGUUGAUAAUUUACUACUUCAUUGAAAUAUUAGUAAAUUUCUGAUAGUGUUGUUAAUUCACUUACAACACCGGAAAGUUUCCAGAAGACUUGGUAAUUUACCAAUCUAGUGGGAAAUUGCUAAAUUUCCGACAGCUUUGGUAAUUUACUACCUCCUUACCUAACAAGCAAGUAACCAGUCAUUUUCUUUUACCUAACAAUUCCAAAUUUGCUGGUAAUACCACCAAAAAUUUCAAAGGAAGGAACUAGAAAGGCAGUAAUGAAUCCACUGAGAAGCAACUGCAGAAAUCUGUUUUAAGUUAUCAAAACUAAAGAACCUUGGUGACCAUUGCACAUGAUCAUUACCUAGGGAGCGUUUUAUGUUUACGCUGGACACAAUGUUUUGCCCCUGCUUCUUCGUUUCUUCAAUGUGGAAAUUUUGAUGGGAAAUCAGCGACAAUUCUGCGAAUAUGGUUGCUGAUGUCUGAUAGAAUUCGCGACACUGAAUGCAACACAUUCUCAGGGUAAUGCCUCAUGAACAAUAAUCUCUACGAAUGAAAUCUGGAGCAAGUGAUUUAAUCACUAAGUAAAGUAGGACCACAACAGACCAAGAGAAGAAGAAAGAAAUUGCAGAACCAAUCGAUUAUAGUAAGAUUUCAUGCCUUCCAGGACAAUAUUUCGGUUUUAGCUAGACCUUGACAAGCUCAGAAGAACAACUGAUUCGCCAUGUAUGGUUUGAACUAGUUCCUAAGGAGCGAAAAUCAAUCCCCUCACGGGUGCAGAACCGAACUGAGGCACAGGAGUAGCAAUGUGUUUCAAUAGAAUGCGACUUGUGGUUUAGACCAAAGCUAUGCAGAUGGAACAUAAAUUCAAUCCCCUACUUGGAGAAAUCUGAGUUUUAUUGAGAAGCUGGUGGAUAGAUGUGGCAUUGUGUUUCCAGAUCUAAGGCCCAACUGUAGCAUAGAUGGAAGCAGAUGAGCAGGGUUUAGCAUGUGACUAGAACUAGGCAAAAGCUAUUAGUGUUAGAUGCAAAUGACAGGGAUCAAUCAUCGAGUCAACUAUUUAAAGAACUGAUACUGAUUUGAGAAUCGCUCUAUUGUUUCCAUUGCAUUAUAUACCUAGUUGCAUUGCAGAACAGACCCAACUCAUGAAAAUGGCAGUAGAUGAGAGGAAUUACUGGAGGUGGAUGGGGUGAAGGUGAAGUGUCUGAAUCAAAUGCUGAGAAGCCAAUAAAAAUCUUGGCUCUGAGUUCAGCUGAAGAAAGACUCUUUAUUAGAUAGUCCACUCACCCUUGUGUCUUGCUUAUGCAGGAAGGUGAGGACUUAUUAGUUGCAGGUACACUGAAAGCCGAUGACUAUUGAUGACCGAAGGUGCCAAAACAAGGAAGUUGGGAUGUAAAGUAACCCUCCUGCACAGAAUAGUUGCCUGAGUUAUGACCUUGCAAGACAAACAUUUGAAGGUUGAGGGCUCUGGAGUGUGUGAAACUGCUUAAUACAGUUAACCAUGGAUGGUUCGAACAGUACUUCCAAGCCAUACUGGUGUGUUUGAUUAGCACUUAGGAGGUGAGGCGGUCAACCACCCUCUUAUCUAGUUGACUUGGGGUAAAAUGAAUUGUCCAUAUUACCGCUAGAAGGAAUCCUCAAAUAUUUUUCUUUUGAACAAGGAAAAUUUAAUUAUCGUAUUAUUUAGAUUUUAAUGGUCCAACCAUUGGAAAUUACAAUUGGUUAUUAAUAUUAUGCUAUUAUAAGUAAACAAAAUAUAAUCAACUUAUAUUUAUAUAUUAGCUAUGAAUACUGAUAAAUAAAUAAUAGAUUGAUACCAAAAAUAAAAUAAAACAAUAGAUUGAUAUAUUGAUGCACUCCACCAUCUGUACCAAUUCCAUAAGACACCACUUACUGUUGACAUAGCCUUUAGAGAAGAUGGGUAUCAAGAUUUUGGACUGCUCAAUUGCUUGGAGAAGCACUGAACCGAUCUCUUCGCCAGUACGAAGCUCUUCGUUAUCUCUGUAUGCUCAAAUUCCAGCAUCAAUGAGACUGGUAUACAGGAUAUCAGCAAUAUCCAAGUGUGUAUCGGGUCCUCUAAAGCUCAAGAAUACUUUGUAACAUGUUGACAUGGCUUCACAACUUCCAGCGUUUGAGAUGAUUCCUCAGUAGACAAGCAGCAGCAGAAUCGCCAACGGCUUCUGUGAUCCCGUUGUCUGUUUUCACCUCUUCACUGGUUUGUACAGAAAGAUGGAAACAAUGGAAGCGACGAUCAAUGCUGAGUGCGAGGACCGACCUCGGUGCACCCUCUAAACUUAUAAAAACAAUGCUGUGAAGAUGUCUGUCAGGAUGGGAAACAAAUGUAUGUGAGAUCUGCUCAGGUCAAUGAUUGAUGUCAGCCUUUUUCUGGGUAACAUUGUAUCUAAUAUAUAUUCUAUCGUCUUCAAAAACUAAAGAAGGAUGCUUCCUCUUCACUUCAAUCGAGGCAUACACGAUUUAGUUAUUUUUGUUGGCCAUAUACACAUGAUUAAAACGCGGCCUCUCUAUGGCAACCACGAGGGAGGAUAAGAUAACCUCAACGGAGCAUGCCAACAAAAGAGACAGCUUUUACCGUAUUAGUGAUGAUUACCUUGGAUUUUUUACUAUCAUUCUUCGUAUACAAAAGCUACUAGUCCCUGAUAUGUUGAUGAGUCCGUUAAAACUUCAAAAAUUUCUCACCCCUCAGAGGAGGAAUUGCUUAUAGCAAACAUUGGUAUGUCCAUUAAAUAUUUUUAUUAUAAUAGAUAGGGCGUGAAAAGGGGUUUACUUCGACCAAAAUUCAAGCACGACCCAAAGAUUUCAAGCCACAGAUCCUGAAACCUCGAACUUAGGCUUGGCUCAAGACAAUAUGAAAUGGCAUGACUCGUAGUAGUUUGAUGCAACUGGUUUUCACACACCUCAAUAUUAGUCCAUCUCACAGGCAACCGCAAUGGGGCAUUCUCUCAUAUUGGCAAGGUGCUUCCUGAAGUGCUUCUAACAAGGUUUGAACUAACACCACGAGGAAAAAGGCAAACUCCCUUGCUAAUUUCUAAUAGGCUAAGAGUGACUUUUUCAUAUGAAAAUAAAAUUGCUCACGUGAAAAUACUAGUAAGUGAUAGAUAUGCACUUGCUUUUAGGAGCAACUACUAAUCAUGAUGAAAAGAUCCCUUCUUAGAACAAUUGACAUACAGAUGAAAAAACAAAAAAUAUGAAGAGUUAUUGAGGGAAGACUAAUAGACGAAAGACUAUUUAUCCUUACUAAGUACUAAUGAUUACUUAUUUUCUUCUAAUCACGGCAGAAAAUUUACUAAUAAAAGUACCUAGUACAUUGACACUUACUUUUUCAAGUGAUUUGAUAUCAACCGAGUGCAGGUUUUUCUAUCUGAUAAAAACAUAUUAUAUCUUAAAUGAUAACUUCCUAAUCAUGUGAAAAAUAACUUAUCAUAAGUAUCUAUGUAUUCUCUUCUCUAGAGCAAGCAUAUAUAAGUAGUUAUAAGUUUUAGGCCAAUUACCAUACAAAAAAAAAAAAUUCCCAACUUUACACUUGUGCUAAUUUUUUUUGUCAAGUAUAAUGCAUAUGAAAGAGACGUCAGAACUUAUUCUUUUGUGCACAAUCCAUCCUCUGUUAGUCCAUCAGCCAGCAAAGAAAAAAUGGUCGUUGCCUUAUUGAUGUGGCGACUAAGGUGACUAAUUAUCACCAUGAAGCGUCAUUAUAAGUAAUUAAUAUAAAUCGAUAGUUAAAGAAGUUACUUUUGAAGAUUAGAGAAAAAGGCAACAGAGGAAAAAAGCAUCGAUAUGAUUUAGUGGUCUUUUCGAUUCAGGAAUUUCUAUUAGCUCAGUUCAAAGAAGAAUAUGCUAGUAUUUUGCCAGGUAUACUAUUGAGGGCAUGCAGCUGCAACCUCGAAAGGUGGUACACAUUGUAAAGUUCUUAGAUACAAUCGACAUAAACUUAAGGCCGAAAAAGAGAGCUAGUGCAAAGUUCGGUUAUCAAAUUUUCCAUCAAUUUGGUCCUUCAAAAGUUUUGUGUUCUUUGGACUCUAUAGCUUCUUCCUGAAGGUGGGAAAUUCACAAUCAAUCUUUAUACUCUUUCACUGUCUCGACCGCCACAUGAAAGAAUACGAACUGUGGAGAGAGCAGAAGACUUUCAUAUCAUUGACAGUCUGUACAUGAGAAAAUGGUAGGAACAGAAGAUGCACAGCAGAAGCAAUAUGAAAAAUAAUCUUCGAGCCUUAGCUCUUAUUCAACAUUAGAAUAACAGUAGAAGGAGCUUGCAAUACUUAAAGCUUCUGUGAUGCCGCCCAACCCCUGAAAUCAGGCGGAACCAUCGCCUACAUUCUUCCAUCCACCAUACUUAAAAGUCCAGGAGAGAACAAAUAUCCUAAAAAAUUACUCUGACAAGUCGGAUUCCACAAGAUCAGACUGCGUCUCCGCCUUCAAAGUCCUCCACCGAUCAUCAUAACCCAGAGAAUCUUCUACCUUCUCACACUUAUGUAUAAGCAAAGAAUUCAGCUUCUUGUGGCUUGAUGGAUCGGGUAACUUUCCAGAAGAUUUACAGGAACCAAUCCAGACCGUCUCCAACAAUUCUGGUCUGCCUUUGAUCUCGAUCACUUCGGACAGCACUGCAGAUAAAGUUUCUGGAGCUUCUCUAAGUUGGUGAGGUCAGGCAACUUGUUCACACAUGGAACUCCUUCAAGCUUUAAUGCUCUCAGGUUCUCCAAACCUUGGAGGCCUCUGCACUCACUUUAGGGCAAUGAGCAACUUCCAAAUCUGACAGCACUUUCAAAUUUGAAAGGUCUAUUAAUGUUUCCUGCAUGAUUAUAUAUUUAAGUACAACGAAUUUGGGGGAAGGUGAAAUAGGCGUUGCAGCUUCUUGCAGUGGACCAGUUCAAGUUCCUUGAGCUGUGAAAGAAGAAUGAAGAUGGGGAGAUGAAAUAAUGACAUUCCAACCGCCAGGACUCCAGCCUGCCUAACCUUCUGAUCCAUUAAGAACUCGGGAGCUUCAUUGAAUUCAGAAGCAUCCUCAAAAUUGUCAAAACCUGGAUUUUCCAUACAAUUUGAAUGCCAGAUAAGUAAGUAAUUUAACAUCGAAGGACACACAUUAAAGAUCCACCUUUGUAGAAACACUAAUCUAAAUGUCUGUAAACUCCGAACCCAACCAAUAUAAACAAUAUUAUGGACAAUAUUUUGGAGGGAUGAGUCUAAUCUCAGUAAAUGAGAGUUCUAGGUCCAUGUACCCAUCAGUCAAUCCGAGAACACAACAGUAUAGUAACGAUUAUGGUCAAUUGGAAAAACAAUACUCACUUGAGAUAUGUAAUCCAUGCAUUAUAUACAAAUGACUAUAAUUAUCUGUGCAAGGAAUCAAAUAGAUGCACUCCAAUGCAAACAAUUGAACGUACUAAUCUCAUGUGUGCAAUACCUGUUGCUCAUCCAUAUACACAAGUGAGUAUUUAUACCAUACUUGUCACUGGUCAUGACUCAUCUCGACUAACGAGACAUCGUCACCAACUCAUGAGAUGAAAUCAUAAAAACAUUUUUGUCACGCUUUAGUCCAUUCAUCAGGGAUAUCCUCCAGCAAUGACAGAUACAAUACUCUACACCCACAUGAUGAUGGCUAUCCCAGACUCAUUCUCAUCAAGAUUCUUACCCAUUCUAUUUUCUUUCUAGUUCUUGGACCUCAAGUUCAUAAUAUCACAUACGGGCUAUUUAAUUCACAUUUUUUUACACAAAUGUUAUCAUUUCGUGUAUGAAUUAUUGGACUUCAUGUCCUUUCGACCAUAUAGAGACCUUGUUUGAAAGGUAGAAUAUUCGUUUUUUCUAGAGUCUUAUAUAUGUACUUAGGAAAUUCAUUGCAGUGUUGGUAUAUUACUAACAACACUUGCAAAAUUUCCAUGGAGUUGGUAAUUUACUUCAUUAUUAGAAAAUUACUAGCAAGAUUGGAAAAUUACUGAUAAGAUUGGAAUUCUACCAACACAGAAAGUUUUCGAUUUUCCACUGCAUGGGAUCGUAAAAUUUUGCAAAGCUUCGUAAGUCUCUACCUCUGCAACAAGAACUUAAAUCCCAACUGAUAAUUUCAAUUGUUGAAACUAGAAAUGCAGUAAUGAAUCAAUCAGAAGCCCCUUUAGAAAUCAAUUGUAAGUUAUCAAAACUAAAGGACCUUUGUGACCAUUGCACAUGAUCAUUAACUAGGAGGGUUAUGUUUGCACAUGAACAUUACCCAGGGAGGGUAAUGUUCAUGCUAGACAAGAUGUUUUGCCCUACUUCUUCAUUUCUUCAAUGUGGAAAUUUUCAGGGAAAUCAGCAAAAAUUCUGCGAAUACAGUCACUGAUGUCUAAUUGAAUUCACAACACUGAAUGCAACACAUUGCACAUUAAUCUCCGCGAAUGAAUUCUGGAGCAAGUCAUCUUGAAUCCUCGAUGAAUUUCCCCCAUGACGAUAUUAAUUAAUAAUUACACCCACUAAAAAUUUCAGAGGUAAGUAGGACCACGGCAGACCAAGAAAAAGAAGAAAGAAAAUUGCAGAACCAAUCGAUUAUUCUAAGUUUUCAUGCCUUCCAGGACAAUAUUUCGGUUUUAGCCAGACCUCGACAAGCUCAGAAGAACAACUGAUUCCCCAUGUAUGUUUUGAACUAGUUCCUAAGGAGCGAAAAUCAAUCCCCUCGCGGGUGCAGAACCAAACUGACGCACAGGAGUAGCAAUGUGUUUCAAUAGAAUGCGACUUGUGGUUUAGACCAAAGCUAUAUUAAAGAUUAGAUGCAGCUAUGGAAGAAAAUCAAGUGAGUCAGCUCCCGAGCGAGUUCAUCGAAAGGCUGUUUUCAUUUCGUAGGUAUGACAAGUCACGACUGAAAAUAAUAAAAACCAACUCAAUCCGUCCCAAAUCUUUUCCUAAUCUAUCACAGAUUGCAUCCAAGAUUCGCAUGCGGACCCAAUUCAUGAAAAUGCGAAGAGAAAAUUACCAGAAAACCAAAUAAAGAUGCGAAGAAGGAAAAAGCAAGACCUUUUUUUAAGACUCGUGGGAACAGAUGGGCGGGCAGGAAGACGGGGGUGGCAGUCCCCGGAGGGAGAUCUCCGCCUGGUCGAAUCGCGUCUCGUUCUUGCUUGCGCUCGGGGUCGCCGUCGCGUUCCUUCACAAUCGGAGUCCGUCGCUGCUUGUUCUGGGUGAGCUCCUCGCUCGGGUCGUCGCCGAUGACUGAUGAGGGGAGGAAGACGAAGGAAGGAGAACGAAAGAACGUGAGCAGACAGAGGGGGGGCAGCGGGAGAAAAAACGAAACAAAAAAAAAAAAAAGGAGAGAGAAAAAGUUGAUAUUUCUUAAAGAGUGGGUCCCACCUUUACGCGUCAUUUGGAGAUAAUAUUCCUCACUAAUCUGAUACGGAAUCUUCUCUCCGUGAUUUCAGUUCUCUAAACCAAAAUUCUUGAUAGGCUCUCCCCACUUUUUCACUUCGAGAUAAUAUUCCUCACUAAUCUGAUAAGAUUCUAGAGAGGCUCUUCUCACUUUUUUCAAAUGUCCGUACUCAUCGGAUUCCAGAGUCUCCUCCAAUCUCUCACAUUCCUUUAUACGCACGCACUCUAGAUUCUUUAAGCUUAAAGGAUCAGAAAAUUGAUGCAGAGACCCGCAGCCACUUAUAUUAAGGAUUUGCAAUGAUUCUAGCCUACCUGGAAUCUCAACCACACGAGGGCAAUGUUCUAAAGAAAAAGCAUACAAGUUCUUGGUAUUGGUCAGGUCAGGCAACUUCUGUAGCAACAGAAGAUUAUAUAUAAGUAACCACUCCAAGUUCUCCCAAGCUUCCAGGCCUUGAAUCUCUUCUACCUUCCAACAACUAGCUAUACGAUAUAUUUGUAUAUGCUUGAAGCUCAAUGGAUCAGGCAGUUGUUCGAGUGAUUGACAACGCACUAAAUCAAAAUACACCAACGAUUCUAGCUGACCUCGAACCUCAACCAAUUUAGGACAAUCAUUUAUGUAUAAAUCCUGGAGCUUCUUCAAGCCGGUCAGGUUGGGCAACUUCACCAGUGACGGAAGAUACCCAAGACUAAGCAAUCACAGGCUUUUCAAAGGUUCCAGAACUUGAAUCUCUAUUAGUUGUUCACAAUAAGAGACUUCCAAUUCUGAUAACUUCUCCCAAUAUGAAAAAUUUAUUGACUUUUCCAUUAACCCACGCCCAUCCAAAUGGAAGUAUGACAAAUUCUGAGGAAGCUUAGGUAGGCAUUUUAGAUUAUUUGCAAGGAGUUUAAGCUUCCUGAGCUUCGAAAGGAGAUUAAAAUCUAAAGGUAGGGUGACCAAAUAAUCACAAUACAACCCCAAGGACUCUAGCUUUCUUAACCCUCCGAUCCAAUUGAGGCUUGGAGUUGGACGGGAAGGGCUCUGAUACUCUAAUUUCAACAUCAAAACUCUCAAAUUUAUUAGGUUCGAGAGAUCCGGGCGUCUCAUCUGUAGAUUAUUGGUUAGGACUAGUUCGGUCAAACUUUCAGGAAGCUUAGGUAUAUUGGAAAUUCUCGUGCCUGAUAACGUCAAGAUUCUUAGAAAUGAUAGUUUUCCGAUCUCACUUGGAAUUUCCCCACUCAAAUAUCUACAACUGCUGGCAUGGAUCUUUUCAAGCUUCUCCAAUGAUAGUCUUCCAAUCUCACUUGGAUUUUCCCCACUCAAACAUCCAUAACUGCUGGCAUAGAACUCUUCAAGCCUCUCCAACUUCCCAAGGGCGCUAGGUAGCUUUUCUAACAUGGAGUCAAAGAUCCUUAGUAUUCUCAAGUUCUUCAUCGUCUCUAUUGAGUCGGGUAACUCUCGUAUGCUUGAACAAGAAAGAUCUAACUCGACGAGAGAUCCAAAAUUUCCAAGUGGAAGUUCAC
rnacentral:lncRNA from 1 species